rnacentral:lncRNA from 1 species
UGCCUUACUCCUUGUUCCUCAGCCUAAGUCUAACAUACAUAAAACCCACGAGCAUGUCUUUACAACUAGCCGACAGAUCAUUGAAAGUACCUAGAUGAAUAGUUGAGAAUCUCGUAGUUAAAGUGUCCGACUUUUACUAUCCUGUUGAUUUUGUGGUGUUGGAUACUGAAUCUACUGUCGAUGACUCGGUACCCAUCAUCCUUGGCCAUCUAUUUUUUGCGACCUCUAAUGCUCUCAUAAACUGCCAGAACGGUUCUAUGGUUCUCACUUUUGGAUCUAUGACUGUUAAAGUAAAUAUUCUUAACCUUGACCAACAACCCCCUGAUUUUUCUUCAUCUGAAGAUGUGUGCCUUCUUGACUCUCUACCCUAUAAGAUGGUACCUAGUUGUUAUCCUGAAGAUACGGUUGUUAAUUGCCCUACAAUGCAUAAUGAUAACUUCAACAUCAAUCAAUCUAUUGUUCAAACCAACAUUGAUCUUGAUUCUGUACCUAUCUUUGACCCCAAAGACCCUGAGGCCCUUGAUUCGGUUUGUUGUAUUGAUUCUGAGUUCCAAGUCGAGACCAUCUCUCCCAUCUCCUGAUCCUCUUCCUCCCGAGCUGAAAUGUGCCAAAUUAGAUUCGUACGGUAGUCAUCCUGUUAUCAUCUCUUCAUCUCUUAUUACCGAUAAAAAAAAUCAGCUUUACUUUCAAAUUGGUAACAAAGUUUUGUUUUAUAAUCCUCGUUUACAUUCUGGCAAACUUAUGUCUCGUUGGUCAGGCCCCUUUGUUGUGUCUGCAGUAACUCGUUAUGAUGUUAUUACAUGUGUUAAUCCUGCAGACGGUUCUGAAUUUAAAGUCAAUGGUCAAUGUCUUAAGCAUUUUCAUGAGUUAAGGCCUCCUGAAACUCUCUUACAGGAUCCUACCUAUUUAGAUUGACUUUUGACCUGCUGGUAUCCGAACCCUCUCUAUUCCUUUCCUUUUGUCUCUUUUGAGAGGUGUGGUUGAAAGUGUCGGGACCGUUAGUCCACAAACUCUUACUGGCUGAGUAUAAUUGAUCUAGUGCACGUUUUUCUCUUUAGCGUCACCACCAAACAGACUUGUUUCCUACUCUAUUUAGGGGUGGGGAAGUCAUUUCCCAUCUUCUUGUAAGUCUCGAGUAUCUGACUUUAAAAGACUCUUUGUUGUAUCUUAGACAUCAGGAUCUCGCACAUUCCACUCUAGCGUUUUAUCUCUCCUGUAUCUUUCGUUUUUAGUAGCGUUUAUCUAGGGAGUGAGUUUCCUGUUUAUCCCCCUGUCUGGCUGAAGACGUUAAUCUUAGCGCUCCUGGGAGGCAGCCCUGUGUAUCUUCUAAAGCCCGAUCGUGCUUUAUUGCUUCUCUUUUUGUUGUCGGGUUUAGUUGCAUUUUAGCUAUUAAACCGCUCGUUCUACCAUAUGUGCUCAGUUCUGUUUUGGGGUGGGCACGGCUGGCCCACCCACUCUCUCUUUGCCAUUUGGCUGGUUGAAAAUUAUUGCGGUUACAAAAUGCAUUGUUUUAAGAUAGGGUUUCCCUUUAUGUUGAGUCAGUCCUUUAUUUCAGCAUAUUUUAUUUCAGUUGUAUCGUAGUAUGGAAUUUCUUAUAAUCUCUAUGUAUAUGGAGAUAAUUUUGUUUGGCAGGAAUUUAUAAAGCGGUUUGAAUUUUUAGUACAUUCAUGAUAAUAUCUUUCUUUCUCUCUUUCCUAUUUUUAGUACAUUCAUGGUGGAAAUCACUUAUCAAAAUAAUUUGGUUUUUCUUUCUUUCUUAAAGUGAUGACUACUCGAGGCAGAGAGGAUGUGCGAUAUGAGAAGUGACUUGACUAGGGUUGACUAUCAUUGACCGAGGUUUGACCGAGGGUUUGCUGUUUGUCUCCUUCAUUAUGCAAUCUGAAUCAGUGAUCGGUGGUGUUGGGAAAGACACUGUAUGUCCUUGGAAGUUUCUUGCUGGUUUUGCAGCGGUGGAAGAUUAUUCCUUUGGGAAAAGGGUUCUUUAUUUUGAAAUUUUAUACAGAGGAGGAUUGGUUGAAGGUUUGUGGUGGAGGACCAUGGUCCUUUGAUUCUCAAAUUCUACGCUUGCAAAACUGGUCUCCGGAUUUUGAUCCUGAUAAACAAAAGCAAUCGAAUGGUUUGGUCCGGGUAAAAUUUCCAAAUCUUAGGCAGCAAUAUUGGGACUAUGAAGUUCUUAUGGCUAUUGGUCGAACUAUUGGUUCUCCAAUUGGUAUUGAUAAACAUACUCAAGAGAGGGAAUAUGGAUUCUUUGCGAGUGUGUUGAUUGAUGUUGAUCUUUCAAAACCUUUACCCGACAAAGUUUUGGUGGAGGUUGAAGGGGGUGAAGAGUUUUUACAAGAAGUAGAUCUUCCCAAGUAUUGUAGCCAUUGUUGUGCGCAGCGGAAACUAAUGCACAAAUAAGAUGAUUGAACAAAUGUAUGAAAAUAAAACAAAACGACAAAAUCAAACAAUCAACCACACAAGAUACAAGAUAUACGUGGUUCGGCAAUAUGCCUACGUCUACGGGGAGAAAAGAUGAUGUUUUUCUUAUCGAGACAAUUGUACAAACCCUCAUGAAGAAACCGAAGUCUUCUUCCUCACAAAAGUUCUCCAACUCUCUAAUGGCUUCUCACAAUCUCUCUCUCAGAAGAAAAAAAAACUAGGUUUUUCCCCUUUUCCUUGGUUUAACAUAGCCUUACAAUAGACCACGAAUUGGGCUUAAACAGGCCCAUAUAGCAUAAAAGCAAAGGAGGACGUACGUACGUCGAACGAACGUUCGUACGUUCAGCAAAAACAAAGUUGUCUGUGAUACGGGACGUACGUACGCCCUAACUACGUACGUAUGUUCCCAGACAAAAAACUUCCCCUUGUCCUCUUGUUUUCCACAAAAACCCAACAAUUCUCCACCUCGGUGAAGAUUCAAUAAAUCUAAGCUGACACCAAGAAUAAAACAAGUCCCAAACUGCCACACAUGUCCCGAAAGACCACCUCGGCUGCACCAUCUCAUGGUUACCUACGUACCCUUCUGCUAAGGGAUCAAGCCAUCGUAGUUCACUUCAAGAUAUAAUAUCAACUCGAAGGAAGGAUAUGGACCAAUUCUAACCAAUAGAACUUAGUCCCAUACACCACUUUAGUCACGGCAAUAUUCCAAGCUUCUGUCGGAGACAAAGCAACCAUAGAAUGUAAUGUAGACAACCUGCUGAUAGAUCUCACUGCCAAUGUAAACACAUAUCCAGGAGUAGACCAACGUCUAUCUAAGUGACAAUCAUACUCAACAUCCACAUAACCAACACACUGCAGCCUCAAAGUCCUUCCAUGUUGAACUAACAAACAAACCUCCACACUACCUUGAAUGUAGUGGAACAUCCAUUUCACAGCUUCCCAAUGUCUCACAUCAGGAUCAUGCAUGUAUCUACCUACAAUGCCCACUGCUCGUGAAAUAUAUGGUUUGAAACACACCAACUCAUCAUACUUUGCAACUCUAGAACCACUAGGCUGAGACAAAUAAAUCUCCUCAUCUAGCUCACCAUGUAAAACAACCGUUUCCACAUCAAACAGAGCUAAUACCAUAUCAGAUCACACUACCAAGGCCAUAAGGAUGCAAACGUUUACCUUCAAGUGCACAUCUUUACCUGGAGAUUUUUCUUCCUUCUUACGUCCUCUAGUUGCAAUUGGACCCUCAUCAAUAGGAUCACCAUUUUCUGCAUCUUCAACCGUCUCAUCAUCUGUCAUGUCAUCAGAAUUUGAAACACCCAAAACCCUUACAAGAGUUUCCACAUUAGAUACAGAACCUACUAGAACAUAUGGGGAUAUGCAAAUCUCCACCCACUGCAAAACCUCUUUGGUCUUGUUCUCCACCUGCUGAGAACUCUCAGGCUCCAACAUAGAAACCUCACGAAGGUAACCAGGAUUCACAAUCAAAUGCAACCUGUNNNNNNNNNNNNNNNNNNNNNNNNNNNNNNNNNNNNNNNNNNNNNNNNNNNNNNNNNNNNNNNNNNNNNNNNNNNNNNNNNNNNNNNNNNNNNNNNNNNNACUUUGCCUAAUCCAGCCAUAGAUAACAUAUGUUCUGCCACCAUAUUCUGUUGCAGUGUCGUUCUCACAGUGAAGUGACGCUCAAUACCCUCAGUCUAACAUACUUGCAAGACCGGAUCAUCUUUGUACUCUAUGCUAUUAUCUAAGCACAAUACCAUGAUCUUUGUGUCAAUUCGGGCCUCAACUAGCUUCUUCCACUUCAAUAUUUCUAGGACUUCAUCCUUAUGCUUCAUGAUGUAUACCCACGAACGCCUAGAAAACUCAUCAACUAAAGACAUAAAAUAAGACUUACCUCUCCAAGCUGUGUACUUGGUAGGUCUCCAGACAUUCAUGUGAACAUAAUUAAAAACUCCACUCAUAUAAUGGAUAGUUGUGCCAAACUUUGCUCUUGUCUGCUUGCCCAGAUCACAAUGCUCACCGAACUCUAACUUGCAGGCGAUAGCACCUAUAAAAAACCUUUGCUCCGUCAAUGUCUGCAAAGAUUUUUCACAUUCAUGCGUCAACCACAUAUGCCACAAUUUGUUAGUCUAUCUAGCACACUUAAUUGUAGCCUCUGACAUGGCCACAUCACAUGUAACUGUACUACCUUGCAAGAAGUACAAGUUACUUCGUCGAAUACCCUUUAGUAAUAUCAUUGCACCAACCAUAACCUUUAGAACACCAUUCUGAGCUACUACCUUGUAACCUUUAGCUUCUAAAGUACCAAGUGAAAUAAGAUUCUUUUUCAAAUCAGGAACAUAUCUUCCAUUCCUCAGCUCUCAUAUCUUUCCAUCAAACAUCUUCAAUCGAAUAGUACCUAUCCCCAAUACAUGACAAGGUUGAUCAUUCCCCAUCACUACUACACCAUUAUCUAGCCUUUUAAAGCUAGAAAACCAUUCCCUUAUGGGACACACAUGAUAAGUACCAGCCGAAUCUAAUAUCCACUCAUUAGCACUAGUGGAACAAUCGAUGGAUGAAACACAUAAAGAAUAAUCAGAACCAUCAUCUUCAUCUCUAUUAAUAUGUGCAAUAUUUACCUCAGAGUUAUUCUUCUUGUCCUUUGCCUUGGUUUGAAGACAAUCUUUCUUCCAAUGCCCUUUCUCAUGACAAAAGGAACAUUCAUCUUUUGCUAGAAACCUCCUCUUCGGCUCCCUACCAGACUCACCCCUACUAUUGUAGCUUCCCCUUGCCACUAAGACCUCUGGUGUUGAGCUUUUGGACUCUUCUUUGUCCUUCUUCAUACACGCAUGAUUUAACAAUGCUGCAGAAAUCUCACUAUACACCAACUUGUCUUUUCCAUAUGUAAGUGUGAUAGCCAAGUGUUCAUAUUCGUCCGGUAACGAAUUGAGGAGACACACUGCCUUGCUUUCAUCACUUACAUCUGCUCCAAGAUUCACCAAGUCGGCAAUUACCUUGGUAAAAUCAUUAAGAUGCUCCGCCAAAGAAUUUGGGGUAUCAUUCCGUAUGCGAUUCUGUGGGGUAUUUGGCUGGAGCGGAAUCGAAGACAUUUUCAGGGAGUUCAACGUGAUGUGGAUCGCACCAUCCUUGACAUCAAAGGACUCAUAUCCCUUUGGUGCAAGAGAUGGCAUGAUUAUGGAGAGAUUCCUUAUGCUUCUUUUGUUUACUCUUGGGAGAAUGUUCUAAGUGGCCCUUGACGUAGAGUUUCUUAUAGUUUUUGUUGUUUGUUCUAUUUUUUUUUUUUUUUUUUUUUUGUUUCCUUGACUAGGGAUAUCUCAUCCCUUGGCUUUGUUUGUAAUCAACUUUUUGAUAUGAAUAUAUUAUGCUCGUUUACCUCUCAAAAUAAAUAAAUAAAUGAGUUAAAUGAGAGUUUAAUUCUGAGUUUGUAAUCUAAUCUUAGAAGGUUCCUACCUUUGCUGCCUAAAGCACAUUAACUCUAUCCUUUCCUGAUGACACAUAUUAAAUAGUUGCAUGUUGCUGCCCUCCACCAUUGUCUGCCAAAAAAGUGACAUAAUUUCUUUGACUUACCAGGCAAAAAAAAAAUAAAAAAGAUUAUUUGAUGUUGAUUGGUAACUACAAUUUUCUUAUUUAAAAAAAAAAAAUUAUUAGAUACAACAUAGUAUUAGAUAAUAGGGAUUAUAGGACAAGGUCGAACGAGAAAAAAAAAAUUUAUUUAAACUUUUCCCAGAUGAUACAAGUAUACUCUAGUGGCAACUGACACACCUAUCGAUCAGUGUUUGGUUCCCUGGGAUAUUUCGCGGAUAACUGUUCCAAUGCUAUUGUUUCUGCAGUACAAACAAAGUAAUCAAAUUUCUGUAAAAUGAGUUGAGCACCGUGUUGUUGUUGCGGUUGAAGUGUCAGAUCAGUACAAGGAGCAUGGAUAUAGGCUGGAGAUAGUUGAAAUGAGAAAUUCUGUAAAAUCAUGGCUAGAGCCAUUUUUGCUUGAACCCCACCAAAUGGUAUGAAUGAGAAUUGAUUUUUUGUUGCUUUUAAAACUCCAUCAGAAAAUCUCUCUGGAUUAAACUCUUCUGCAUCUUCACCCCAAAGUUCAUGGCUAUGGUGAAGAAGAAGUGUUGGUAGGCCAAUCUCUACCUCUGAUGGUAUAUAAACUUCUCCAAGUUUCACUUCAUUGUUGGCAGCACGAGUAAUCACUGCAAUAGGCGAGUAUAAUCGAAGGACCUCGUAAAUAAUCAUGCUUACCUGCAAAGAUUAUGAUAUAAAUAAACUUAUAAGCAAUCUAUUGGUUAUAACUGGCAUCUAAUAAGAUAAAGUACAUUUGUAGUCUAGAAGUUAACUCUACCGCUCAAUUUAUCGUAUAUUACUUGCAAUUUUCAAUUGGUUCAGCCCCUCAAACUCGGGUUUAUUUUUCCCAAAGUGUUGCAAGACCUCUUCCCUCGCUUUAUCUUGCCAAUCAGAAUGCAUACUCAAUACAAUCAUUGUCCAUACUAGCAAAGUUGAAGUAGUCUCUCGCCCGGCAAAGUAGAACAGUUUGCACUCAUUAUAACUUCAUGUAUACUCAUUCCAACAUCCUUAGAGGUCUCACUAUCUUCCUUUUCUUUCAAAUUCGAUUCGAGUAAUAAUCCUAACAAGUCAUCAUCACAUGUUUGACCGAUUUUCAUAGACUCCUCUCUCUUAUUUAUCAUAUCAGUUAGAAUCGUUUUUAGUUCUUUGUCUAUUUCCAUCAUCUUGCUGUAUUGUUUUGUCGGAAGAAACCAACUGCACAUAAAAGAUACAAAAGGUGAAAUACUGACUGUACAGACAGUAAUAUCAAUUCGGUCUUUCACAUUUUAUAUCCAUUUUUUCACAAGUAAACUGUCUGCGGUGAAGAGAGCGCCUAGGAAAUUCUAGACAGUGAGGUGAGGGCUCGUGUAUCAUCCAUAUUAUACGUAUUUUUAAAAAAUUUAAAAUGAUAUUAAUAAAAACAUGAUCGCAUGUUUUUUUUUCAAGUAAAACAUAAUCCUAUGUAUCGACCCUAUCAACUGGGCCCGUUAGCCCGACCCUCAACACUUUAAAAAAAGGUCUAAGGGUCGGGUGAGGUUUUCACAAUUUUUGUGUUAGCCCGCCCCGACCCUCAUCAUCUUUUAAGGUAGGGAUGGCCCGACCCUUAAAGUGUGAGGGCUAGGGUUCGAGGUCUGGGCUAGCCCUACCAGGCCCAUUUUACAGGCCCAAGUGUAACACACUUUUAUGGUGCACUUAAAUCCCUAAGACUAUCUUUGUAACAAAAAAACUCUCGAUUUUGGCCCCAAACCCUAAUUAUCGAUUAAAAAUGGGCUAAAAUCUGGUAACUUACACCAACAAUCAGUUGUUAACAUGUUUCGAACCCACAACCUCUCCACUUUGUGAGAGAGGUGCUACCAUCGAGCCACGGGCUUAUUCGCAAAACAAAAUGUUAUGGUAAGCAUGUUUUUAAUGAGAUUAGUAACUCGGUAAUGUUUGCGGGAUUUGAACCCUAGACCUCUGGUAAUCUGGUAUCAUCACCGAAAGGUUUUACUAGUUGAGCUCAGUUGACACUUGCAAAAAAAACCCAUUUUUUUUUAUGAGAUCAGUAACUCGGUAAUAUUAGCAAGAUUGAAUUCCAAACUUUGAAUACCCGAUUAGGCAUUUGAAAAUGAAAGUUUGAUACAUUAUAGCAAAAAUAAAGUAGGACCUAAUUAUGCACAAAAGUAAUGUAUGAUUCCAAAAGGCUGUUCAAAUAUAAAGUGACAUCCAUGUAUAUUGUAUAUUCAUUGUCGGUCGAGAAAAUGAAAGGGACUUCAAUAAAUUACAAUGGGAAAAAAGUAGUACCUAAAUUAGGUACAAAAAUAUUUAUAGGAUGAUUCCAAAAAGUGAUUCAAAAAGGGACUUGAACAAUUAUGCAUAAUUUGUACCAUUUGCAGUGCAUGAAGUGUGAUCAUGGUGUAAUACUGAUUCAUAGUUUAUGUAAGAUCAGUUGAGCUCCAUAUUGUGGUUUAAGUGUGAGAAUACUGUAAGGAGCAUGGAUAUAAGUAGAAGAAAGCUCGAAUGAAAACUGUUGCAGAAUCAUCGACAAAACCAUCUUUGCUUCUACAAAGACGAAUGUCUGCCCAGCGCAUAUCCUUGGACCCCAACCAAAUGGGAAAUAUGAGACCUGGUUCUUUGUGGCCUCUGAAACUCCUCUAGCGAAUCUCUCUGGUUUAAAUUCCUCUGCAUCUUCACCCCAAAGUUCACGACUAUGGUGAAUCAGAAGUAUUGGAAGAGCUAGUUGUACACCUUCUGGCACAGUAACAUCACCUAAAUUAAUCUCCUUGUCAUUAGCUCGUGAAAUGAAUGGUGUUGGCGGAUAUAAUCUAAGAACCUCGUGUAGAAUCAUAGUCACCUACAAUGAAAUUUUGAUAAAAGUUUUCAUUAGUCUAUAUCAAAAUAAAUUUGCGACAGUUCAAUCACAAGCUCAGGUAAUAUGGCAGUAAAAUCACUUACAAUUUUGAGCUGGUUCAACCCAUCGAAAUCUGGUUUGCUGCUCCCAAAGACUUUCAUUACUUCUUCUCUUGCUUUCUCUUGCCAGUCUUGAUGCAUACUCAACACGAUCAUAGUCCAAACGAGCAAAGUGGAGGUUGACUCUUGUCCAGCAAAAUAGAAUAACCUACACUCAUCUAUAAUUUCGUCAAUAGUCAUUCCUACGCGCUUACUGUUCAUAUCGUCUUUCAUUUCAUUAUGAUUUGAUUCCAUUAGUACGCCUAGUAAGUCAUUCUUCGGUGCUUCUCCCAUAUUAAUAGCCAUCUCUCUCUUUUUCACAAUGUCUCUCAGCAAAUUUCGCACUUCUCUACCAAUUUUCUUCAUCCUAUUGUUCCUUUUUGUAGGAAGAAAUCUGCACAUUAAGAUGUUCAAUGUCAAGAUCUGUAAUUAUCACCAGUUGUAAACAACAUUAAUAAUGCGCUAGCUUAUGAAUGUAUACCUAAAACCAGGUAUGUUCAGUGACACUGCAACUUGAAAAACAAGCGUUCCAAGCUCAUCUAUGAGUUGGAAUAUUCGACGGCCUUCUUCAUAAGAACUACCAAAUGCUGUUCGAGCAAUCACAUCCUUUGUUAUGUUUUGAAGAUCAGGCCACACAUCUAAUUCACAAGAACCUUCUGAAAAAUCCAAAUUCUGCCACUUGCUAAUCAAGUUGCUACAAGUAGUAUAAAAUGCUGGUGACAUCAUCUGCCAAGACCAAAUAUAGAUGAAUUUGCAUGAUAUAUUUGGGGAAAGAUUCAAUAAAAAACAUCGCUAAGUAACAUGAAUCUAUUAAAUAUUUAAAUAAGAACAGAAAACAACCUUCAACUUCUCUGGAUGGAAAGCAGGGUUAAGAAUCCUUCUGUGUUUUGCCCACUUUUUACCUUCAUAGAUUACAAGUCCAGAUACCAACAGCUUGGACAGUGGAUUUGAUCUUGGCUUGAGAAAAUGACCAGAUUUGUUCAUAAAAAUUUCUUUCAACAGCUCAGGCUUCAUGAUGUUCAGCUUCAGAGUUGGUCCAUACCAAGUCGUAAACAUUCUACCUGUUUUAUCAAAUAAAAAAACAUUUUCAUCGCAUAAAUUUUUAGACUAGAAUUUUUCAUAUGAAUAAAACGAUAAAGAGUGAAUUACCAUAGCUUUCGGCAAAUUGAUCAUGGAAAGGGAGAACACGUUGAACAAUUCGAUGUGAACGUUCCAUAGGUCUAGAUUGUGCUUUCUUAGUUAGACUCACCAAUUCUUUGAGGUUACCAUGUAGAAACCUAUAACUUGGACCUUUGACACCUUUCUUCCUUAGAUACUUCUCAAGUUUUUUGGGGUUUAACCAUAUCCAACAGAAAACAUUCCAUGUCAAAAAUAUCGCCAGAACUGCAGAACUAACAGUUACUACCCAUACAACCUUCUCCAUUUUGUUUUCACUGAACAUUGAUAAGAUACCUUAUAUAAUGUAACAGAGAAUAUGUAAAGACGGCGGCCUCUUGUAUUAUAAAAAUAUUUAUCGACCGUUUGUCCGUUUGCCAUUUGUUUUAAUUCUAGAAACUUAUUAUCUAAUGAAAUGUUUCUUCUUUAGGGUGAUAAUUGCCGGACAAAAAUGAAUUUCCUUUUGUUAGUUAUCAAUCCAUUUGCAGAAGUUUGUUUAUUAAUGAAGAGUAUGCAAGCUGUUUUAAUUUGUUCAUAUACGAUCUGAUUGGAAUCUAACUAUGUGUACGUACUUCAUAUAAAAACUACUGCAAAAGACUAUUAUAGUUUUGAAUUGGCUGUAUCUUUUGUUGUAUUAAGGUCAAGAGAUACCGUUUCGUGGUCUAUUUCAGUUUCUGUCAACUGGAAUAGCAUCCAUAUAUCUCUGUAUUCGGUGAAGCAUUAUAUUAGUCCAUUUUUGGCAAGUAGGAUUAUAUUGUAGCAUCAUGGUAGUUCAAGACUUCAAGUUAUAAUAUCUCACCUACUGUAAAAUUGACAAGUCCUGAACAUGUUGCCACAUUCACAAAUCACAAUUGCUGUCUCGUAGAUGUAACCGUGCAUUGCUCAAGUCUAGGGAAGAUGUGAAUCAUUAGGUAAUGGCAGAAAGAAAUCAAUAAUAGUUCAUGGCGAUUAGAAAGCAUCGAAAAAUACCAAAAUGUUAUAUCAAUUAAUAUUUUCUUUUACAGUAUCACGUACAGAAAAGCUCCUGAUGUGUGUUGCUAUCUGAUUGGUGUAUUUAUAGAGUUCGAUCAUGACAACUUUCGGUUUUCUAUUUUAGAAAAAAAAAAAAAAAAAAAAAUGCCCUUCUUCUAGGGCUGUUGGUUUUUUGCGAAUGAGCCUAUGGCUCAAUGGUAGCACCCCUCUCACAAAGUGGAGAGGUCGUGGGUUCGAAACACGUCAACAGUGGAUUGUUGAUAUAAGUUUCUACACGUAAUUUAAAAGGGGUAGGGGUCCCCACAACCUUGCUUGCCAACCAAAAAAAAAAAAAAGUUAAAAAAAUAAAUCUACUAGUUUACUUGAUGGUCCUGGUUGUUUGGCUACACAUAAAAAAGUUACUUUUUUGCUGUGAAAAGUAAGAAAAUCAAAAAGUUAGUAUGGAUGCAAUUGUUUUUUUACUUUUUCGUAGCAAAACUUUUGCUGCCAGAAAAAGCUCAAAAUUUUAGCUUUUUACUUUCAAAAAGUAAACACAACAACAUAAAAAAUGAAAUGUUAGUAUUUUUCCCCUAAUUUGAUCAUGUUUGGGAUAUCCUAGUUGUUGUAGAAAUCUACCCAUAGGAUUGAAUUUUUUGAUGGAUGAAAUCUAAUUCAAACAUCUUGAAUGUUAAAGUUCUAUCUUCAUUGUUGCGCCCUUCUCUUAAUACCACUACACCUGUGUAUGUAUAUACAUAUCGAGCUACAUCGACUUAAAGCUAAUUUUCAUCGAGCUCACCCGAGCUCAAGCCUAUUUCCAACGACAAUUUUUUACUUAUUUUUUAUGUAUUUUCGUCAAUUUCUCUUCAAUUUUACUUUUUGUUGCCAAGGAUACAUUCCUUUUAUUCUCCAUACUUCGAAUUGGCUUCAUGUACACUAAGGGAUACAUUCCUUUAUAAUUCAUAUUGGAUAGUCAUAAUUAUAUAAUACUAGUGCCUUAACCGGUGCAUAAUUUUAAUUUAUCCAUCUCUGAUUAGCAUUCGAGUUUUAAGUUAUUAAUUUUAUUAAAUAUUACAAAUUAUACUAAUUUAUUAAAUCGUAUGAAAUAAUUAUUUCUUAAGUAAAUUCAUUAUUCUCAUUGUAUUUUGUUAAUUACAAUAAAACCAUUAAUUUUAAAGUAAAUAAAAAUUAUUUAAUUAAAGUAAAUAAAAAUUAUUUUUUUAUUGGAUAUUUUGCUUAAAAAUAAAAAUUUAGCCCAUAAAUAAAAAUAUGUUAAAUUACAAUAAAACCAUUAUUUAAAGGGUACCAAAAAAUCAUGACUAAAAGGGUACCAAAAAAUCAUGACUAAAAGGGUGUUAAAUUAUAAUAAAACCAUUACACUUAGAGAGUAUUAUGUAAAUUUACCAAAAAACCAUGACUAAAAGGGUAUUUUAGUCAGAAUUAGGUAACAAAAUACUAAAGAUCAAUUCUCAUUAAUCGGGACUUACCCCUGGAUUUUAUUCAGGUUUAUAAUAGUAGUCUAGAUUUUUCUUAAGCAUAUUAUUGUUUUCCUACAUGUUUAAGAGAACGAGGCUCAUGCAUAAGGCUUGGUGGAAAUUUUAGAAUUAUUUAUCACACUAAUAGUGGAACCUAAGAAAAAUUCUCCUGGUCGACAAUAUAUAAUUCUACGAAGGUGAUGUACCAUAAGCUGUUUUGCAUGACACUAAUUGUACAGUAGUUAUAUAUGGACCAAUGGGCAAAUAGUCUAAUUUUAACCAAUGAAAUAUUUUGAUCAUUUGAGCACCAUGUAAUUGUUGUUAUUUCUUACAUUUUAAUUGAGAAACUACAAAUAGUGCUAGUAUAACAAAUGUGAAUUCAAACAAGCAAACAAGCAAUACGCAGAAAGUAAAUAACACACAGAGAUUUUUAACGUGGUAAAACCCAAACAGGGAAACGUCCACGGUUGUCCUCGCGACAACAAAAUAAUCCACUAGAUGAAAAGAGAUGUACAAACCUAUCAACUACCUGCACUCACUGCGAGUUGACACUACCGGUUAUCUCUAACACCUUGACUUCACCAGAGCACCUUGAUGUACGCACAAGACACUCGACUUCUUGAUGAACACACAAGAAGACUCGAAGCCGAACUAUGAAACAAGCUUACACCAGAGUUCCUUGAUGAACACACAAGGAUACUCGACUUCUUGAUGAACACACAAGAAGACUCGAAGCUAAAUCACUAUUCAAUAAUAUAGAAGAAGGUGAACAGGAAAGAAGAAAGAAGAAGAUGAAUGGGGAAGAAGAAGAUGAGUUCAAUCACCAAAACAACCUCAACCAAAACCUAAACAAACUCCAAGAACCAAGAGGUGAAUUGGACGGCCAAAGAACUCCUUGUUCUUUGGAAGAGAAACCCUAUUUAUACUUAGGGUUGAAAACCACCGAAAAUGGGCCGAAAUAGUAAAAGCCCACUUUGGACGUACGUACGUCGAUAUGACGUUCGUACGUCUCCAAACGAAAAUACUCCUGCUGCCUGCUGUGACGUACGAACGUCCUGUAAAGGUUCGUACGUCCAGACCACCAGCAAUCUUGCUGCCAUUCGAUACGUACGUACGUCCUUAAGAGGUACGUACGUCCUGGACCAGAAAUCACACCAAUGACACACGACGCGAAGGCAAGGACACGGGACGACGCGCGUACAACCAGGUUUUCUUAACAAUGAACUCAAGGCGAGAUAACCAAGGACACUUUGUCACAAAAUUGAUGUCAAACCACUUCAUGCCGGUUUCAAUCUCCCCCUUUGACAUUGAUUUUGUGACAAAAAACCUAUGACUCUAAUAGCACUUAUAAAACGUGCUUACAAACCCAAACCAUGGCAUUUAUAAGACAUGCCUACAAAAUCACUCAACGUAGAAUACAUACCGAGUCACCAACACAUGAUAUCCAGCUUGAGUAAGACGCUUUAACCAUCAGAGACCGAACGGAAGCAACAAAGAAUUUCCGAAGUAAUCAAGGAAUCAACAGAAGUUCCUUCGAGUAACUCCCCCAUACUUCAUGAGCUCCAAACUUCAUGAGCAACUCCCCCAUACGUGUAGCAUACCUGAAACAUGACCCAAAAAUAACCUAACAACAAGAAGACGAUCGUUAGAGUCAUAAAUAAUUAGAGUCAUAAAUCUCCCCCUUUUUGUCACAACAAGUGAUCAAAAUAACCAACUAUCAAAGGAAAAGAACAAUAAUAAACCAAUAACCAAAAAAAAAAAAUCAAAACCAAACAAAGAAUAUAAGACAGAUAAAAAUAUAAACCGAACCCAACUGUCAAAAGUUCAGAAAAGCAACUAAUAACCAAACAAAGGAAUCCAGAAACAGAAAAAAAAACAAAAACGACAAAAAUAGAAAGCUCGAAUUAACGAAUUCGAAAGACCCUUUCCCAAUGACCUAGAGGAAGCUUGGAGAAGUAAGCUUCCGCACGAGCCGAAGGACGAUUCCACCGAGCAAUCACAUGAUCAUCAUAAUCCUCCAACCAUUCACUCGUACAAAACAACUCUUCAAUUCUGCUGUCCAAGCCACAGUCGGUAAGUGGAGCAGCAAGUCCUGGAACCUUCAGAUAACCAACCAACUCCAAGAUGUGAUUUUGAAGAUGUCCCGGUAAUCUCUCCCAAUGAUUGACACGAACCAAACAAGGAUUAAGGAAAGGACGAUGAAUAUAGUCAUAUCCAUGGGGAACGCGACACAAACGACAAACCUUAGCAUUGUUCUUGUACUCCAUUACCAUGAACGACACAUAACCAACAUUCGGAACAAAAAUUCCAUGAAGUUCAUAUUCUGCCAUAGAGAAUGCUGAAGAACAAAGAGAGAAUUAGCAAGAGGUAAGAAGACACAAUAUGAGUGAAAGAGAAGAAGACUUCCUAUUUAUAAGAAAAAUAGGAGUAAACAUAUCAUGGACCCAAAAAGAAAGGUCCAUUACCUCAGAAAAAUUUACUGCAAAACAAGGAAACCAACUUGAACUAAUAUGAGAAUAGCAAUAUCCAAGAACAUGUACAAUACUAAAAAAAUAGAAACAAACCGAUAUAGCAAAAAAAAAUUUAAGUACAAAAAUGUGGAGAGUAAACCAGAAAAACCACUACUCGGAGUCCGAGUCACCAUCACUUGGUUCACCAUCACCCUCGUCCUCACUCUCUGAGUCAUCACCAUCACUCGCACCUUGAGCUGGAGGCACCUCUUCCGGAAACGGAGGCAAGUCUGUGGGAGUGAAGUCCAGCUGCAGAUGCCGCAUCUGAGCAACAUUCAUCGCAUGAAUAUCACUGAUCAUGACAUCAUGACGAGAGAGAAUGGCCCCGAAACGAUCCAACCGAGCAUCCAUAUGGUCCUGAUGACGGCGGAGAGAGGAAACCCGAGCAUCAAUGGCUGCAACAGCCCGAUUUCCCCUAGCAGAAGCAGGGAUGGGGCGUCCAGUGGUCAAGGCCCGAUCGAAAUCAUCAUUACGCACAAGUGCCCUGCCUCCCCAAAUGAGGUGGUGCGUCAGACGCGCACCCACGGACUCGAAAGCCAACUUUCGAGACUGACAGCCCUUUUUAAUAGCGUUGACCCAGUCGUGGCCAACAAACUUUGGAGGGCUCACCCCCAAAUACUGUCCCUGAAAACCCAAGUGCCUGAGAAUUGUCAUAAUAAAGCUAGGGAAAGGAAGAGUACCCUUAGCUGCAUCAAUUUGAAGCAUCCGAUUGUAGAUGACCUCAGAAAGACUAAUAUGGUGCACCGACAUACAAACCACCAAUUUGACCAUGUCGUCGGUCAUUAUUAUCUUGUUGCCCUUGGUGGGGUAGAUGUUGGAGUGAGCAACCAUGUGGACAAGGAUGGCACUGUAGAACUUUGCAUGAUAUCUCUCCGUGACCCCAUCGAUGAACAUCCGCUGAACUUGAUCGACAAGGUCAAUCGGAAUCUCAUCCGGAAUAGGCCAUCGAACAUGAACAGCACCUUCAGGAAGAAAAUCAUCGUCAAUACCCAAUGCCUCACGGAUCACCUUCGGAGAGAUAGUGUAUCUCCGACCAUCAAUGAGAACCGAGAAACUCGAGCGAUUCUGCGAAGGGCUCUUCGUUUCAUAGAAUGCUAUCGUAUGCUCAACCGAGUACUUGGUGAUUGGUUGAGCCACCCUUAGCCAAUUCCGAGUCUCAAAGAACAAUGCGAUAUUGCCAAGUUGAGAUGCCCCUAGAGGGGUGGUAGCAAUGUCUCCCAAGUCGAAGAACCGCUCGGGAACAAUGGCCUUGGCUCGAGGAUGAGCGCCAAGGGAUGAUGGAUGAGACAAACCCGGAGUGGAACCACGACCCCUCGGAGCGCGAGAAGAAGACGCACCCUUAGAUGCGGAUGCAGUGGAGGUGCGUGCACGCUUUGAAGCCAUUUCCUACACAAGCACAACGAUAAACAAACGAAAAGUGUGAGUGAAAUGUAGUCCCAAACAAGAAAAACAAACCAUUUGAGUCAUGUAGACAUUUUGUCAAACAGUUAGUGUGCAGAAACUAAAUCCAAUAGUAAAACAGCAAACCAACAAUCACAUUCACACUAAUCAUGAUAGAUGAUUAAGACUAGAGAAGGAACGAAGUGCCAAUUAAACAAAAAAAUCCCAGCGACACCAAGGAAUAUGAUCUUUAAAGAAAACUAAUUCUGUUACCCCAUGAUUAAUCACUCACAACAACAAAAAAAAAUUUCCAUCACAAAUAACCAUUAACAAGCAAUGAAAAGGAGAAUUGAGGAACUUACUAUUGCCGAAAGAGUGAGAAGAUAAACACCACAAAACUCUUUUGAACACUUAGAACACAGUAGGGAGGGACUUCACGAUUUGAAUGAAACAAUUGAGCAAAAGGUUUAACCAAAAUUUGAAUUUAAACAGCAAAUGGGCCGGACUGUAACAGGGACGUUCGUACGUCCUAAAGACGUUCGUACGUCGGGACUCUUAAAAAAAAACAACAUCUGUAAGACCCUACGUUCGUACGUUCUAAUAACGUUCGUACGUUGGAAAAAGAUCUGCCCACCUCAACGUUCGAACGUCAUGACAGCGUUCGUACGACCACACAUUUUUUUUUUUUUUUUUUUUUUUUUUAAAAAUGAAAGAACAACCUAAAGACCAGAAAGCAAGCCGACUAACAACACAAACCAUAAUAAGAAGAUAAAAGGAAAAUAACCGAUGUACCAUACAAGUGAAGAGGAACACAUCAUGAACUUCCAAAAACAGUAGCCAAUCCCAAUCCGUACAAAAAUAAGAGGCAAUAUGUUGGGAUAAACAAAAUAUUGAACAAUUAAGAGAAUUGAACUACAUCAUAAACUAAACCUCGGUGUGUAGAUGCAAUGCAAUGCAUAAAGAGAGAGAAAGUUCACCACUAGAACACACCCUUUGAAGACCGAGAAUAUAGAACCAUCAACAAGAGACAUACGAUUAGUAAAUGAGCAUAGAAGAACCAAACUUCAACCCCCUUUGAAACAAACGUUAUGAGUAGAAGGCAAACGAAUAUAAAUAUAUAAAUGUGAUCUUUCAAAUGAAAACCAAGACAUUAAAAGGCAAAGGAAUAUAACUUUGUAUGCCUUACAUAAAAAAAACAAUGAAUAUGCGCUUGGAUUUUUAUUUUGCCGCAUGUGGUGGAGUUUAGUCUACAUCACUCUAAUGUCAUUCCCGCGUGGGAGGGAUUUUUGCCUCCAUCUUUUCAAAUACACGAGGGUAGGGUGUAGCCUACAUCUUUUUGACAAACACAAACUCAAGAAGUGCAAUACCAUGAUAACGUGCAACACAAGAACUAACAUCUCUUGAGUGCAUCCGUCAGAGCAUGACCCUCACAACCCCAACGGGUUCUUAGCCAACUGAUAUUGCUUCAAAGACAAUCAAAUGGCUGGGGAUAAAGUGAGUCAUUGACCACAAACAAGAGUUGUAAUAGGAAGAUAAGAAUGCUCAAUAACACGAACAACAAGAUGAACAUUAACCAAAACAAAGGAGAGAUAGCUCAAGAUCACAUAAAUACUCGAGAGAUAGAGAAGUUCUAUGAGCUCAAGGAAUAUGUAAGUGGUUUCCAAAAACUCCCAUCAUGCAAGCAUGCCGUGCACUGUGCAAACAAGCGAGGAAAAAUGCAUGAUACAUACCAAAACAUACUUAAGAGUUCAGAAAGAGAAAACACCCAAACAUAUUGCAACUUAUUUAAGACAAUUGAAUUAAACCAAUAUCUCAGAAAAGAUGCAUCCAACAACACAUAUAUGGAAGAAAUAAAGAAAAAUAGAAGGAAUAACCAACAAUGUAUUCAGACAUGCAACAUGAUCGGCAAGCUAAACAAACAAAGUAGAAAAAGUAGAAACACCAAACAAAUAGCCUAUGUGGUUAGAGAAAUAUACAAUUCAAAUAACACAAGGCUAGAAACAAACCACAUCAUCCCAAAUAUGGGACACCACCAGACCUUUGCAAGUCCAGAAAAACCUUCAACUUAUCCUUUCUUACCCAUACAUGUUUAACACUAGGCGUGCACACCUUGGGAGGUGAAAUGAUAUGAUAUUUUCCCUUAACACGCUUUGCAAUGCAUUUGUCCUUAACCAAUUCCACCUUAGUCUUAGACUUCUUUUUGUUGGAAUACCUGUUUUUCUUAAACCUGUGAUGAGAACCAUUAUAAUUCCUAGGUCUAGAAAAUGCACAAGAAGGAACAUAAGAAUCAACAAGAUUAUAAUUAUAAGGAACAUGAGAAUAACAUUUAACAUGUUGAUUAAAAUCCCAACAAAAGAUAUCCAAAUGACCAACCCUACCACAAUAAGAACAAUGCAAAACAUUAGACUUACUCAACGAAUUCUUAUAAGAAGAUGUGGUAGUGGUGGAUAAACCAUGUAGGUCACUAUUUGGUUUAUGACAUUGUCCCUUAACAAUACCCAUACCUCCCCUAUUAGAACAAGAUGGCUUAUUAGCAAAAACAACCUUAUCAUUAGCCUUAGACUUAAACUUUGUGCGAGAAACAUGCUGAAAACUAUUAGUAUUAAGUCUAGUCUCAAUAGGCGGGGUAGGCAAAAGGGCAGGCAAACUAGUAGACUUUACAGGAGUAAUCACACUAGAUGAACUAGUAGAACUAUCAAUAGGAGAAUCAAAUCUAGUUUUGUCCACAACCUGCAAUUUGAGUUGAGUAGACGUUAAAUCGUUCUUUGUUACCUCAUACUCCACCAAUAGAGAUUUGUAUUUCUCAUCGACCUCCUGAUUGGCCUUCUCUAAGGCUGCAAUUCUACAUAACAAUUCAAGUUUUUCUUUGUCAAAUAAUUGAGAAUUAGAAAUUGUAUCAUCUGCAGCACAAGAAAUCUGUUUUUCAAGAAUCUCAAUUUUAUCCUGCAAAGAAAGAUUAGCCUUUUCCAAAUUUUCAAGUUUGGAUUCAUAAACUUCCCCUUGAAGCAUAUAGUCCUCUGCACAAUGUCUGAGUCGUUGUUCUAGAGAAUCAACCUUAGUCUGCAAAACACCAUUAUCUUCAAAACAAACAUUAUCAGAAAUAGUAGACACAUUACAAUUAGCUUUAUUAAAUUUUUCCUGCAAAUCAAUAUUAGCUUUUUGUAAUCUUUCACAUUCUUUUGUAGAAAGUCUGUAAAGAAGAGCCCAAUCACUAUUGCUAACAACAUACAAAUUAUCAUCCUUUUCAAAAUCAGAUUUUGAUUUUGUAGAUUUAGACAAUUUAGCAAUAAAAUUAUUAUGACCAGACUCAUGAACCAUCAUUGCACUCAUAGGAUCGUUAGCGUGAGCCAUGACGCUCCUUAACCAGCCCCCAGCGACUGAUACCAAUUGAGAAACUACAAAUAGUGCUAGUAUAACAAAUGUGAAUUCAAACAAGCAAACAAGCAAUACGCAGAAAGUAAAUAACACACAGAGAUUUUUAACGUGGUAAAACCCAAACAGGGAAACGUCCACGGUUGUCCUCGCGACAACAAAAUAAUCCACUAGAUGAAAAGAGAUGUACAAACCUAUCAACUACCUGCACUCACUGCGAGUUGACACUACCGGUUAUCUCUAACACCUUGACUUCACCAGAGCACCUUGAUGUACGCACAAGACACUCGACUUCUUGAUGAACACACAAGAAGACUCGAAGCCGAACUAUGAAACAAGCUUACACCAGAGUUCCUUGAUGAACACACAAGGAUACUCGACUUCUUGAUGAACACACAAGAAGACUCGAAGCUAAAUCACUAUUCAAUAAUAUAGAAGAAGGUGAACAGGAAAGAAGAAAGAAGAAGAUGAAUGGGGAAGAAGAAGAUGAGUUCAAUCACCAAAACAACCUCAACCAAAACCUAAACAAACUCCAAGAACCAAGAGGUGAAUUGGACGGCCAAAGAACUCCUUGUUCUUUGGAAGAGAAACCCUAUUUAUACUUAGGGUUGAAAACCACCGAAAAUGGGCCGAAAUAGUAAAAACCCACUUUGGACGUACGUACGUCGAUAUGACGUUCGUACGUCUCCAAACGAAAAUACUCCUGCUGCCUGCUGUGACGUACGAACGUCCUGUAAAGGUUCGUACGUCCAGACCACCAGCAAUCUUGCUGCCAUUCGAUACGUACGUACGUCCUUAAGAGGUACGUACGUCCUGGACCAGAAAUCACACCAAUGACACACGACGCGAAGGCAAGGACACGGGACGACGCGCGUACAACCAGGUUUUCUUAACAAUGAACUCAAGGCGAGAUAACCAAGGACACUUUGUCACAAAAUUGAUGUCAAACCACUUCAUGCCGGUUUCAUACUUGAUAUAUUAUAGAGAUUUGACCUUUACCCCCUCCAUUUGAAAGUCGAAAUUUGAGUUACCCCCAUUUGAAAAAAUAUAGACGAUGUUACAAAAAUCAAUUUUCUUUAUUUAGUAAAUAAAAUAUUUUAUAAUGCCAAAACUACCCCUUCUUGAAUCUGAUGCUAAUUAGUACCCCCACUGAAACAUACAUAAUUAGUAAUACUCCCCGAAAUCAAUUUGUUGGGAAAUUUUUGAAUGGGAUUAAAGCUCCCAUAAUGUUCACAUCAAUCUUGUGUAAAACUGCAUAAACAUAUUUUUCAGAUUUGAAUGGAUGCCAAUAAGGAUCUAUAUUGGACAGGUUGGGAAGUUGUAGAUCUAAUGGUUUGACAAUAUUCAAAAGGCUCACUAAUUUAGUGAUUGAGAACAUUCAAAAGUUUUGAAGAUAUUGCUUGCAUAUUCAAGUAAUGGAGUCAUCUUAUUUGUAGGGAUACUAAAUACAACAAUCAAUCAAAACACGACAUAUGUCAUGUCCCAACAGUUCACUAGGUCGUCCACGAUACGACCUAACCUACUCCGACCAGAAUAACUUAAGUAUAUAACUGUUGGUGACCUCAAUGCAGACACGUGCCCUUAAUAAAUGCCUAGAGAAUAUCUUGGUUUGUUACGUACACAUGCAUUUAUUGCCAGGUAUCACGCAAUAAUAGAUGUCGGAGAAUCUGCAGGAUCCCAUGAUCUGUCCCCUCUCACCUUGUAUAAGAACAAAACUACGAUGACUUGAUCUCUAAGUUCCACUCCAUCGAGGUAGAGUACGUAGGCAAUCUCGACUUCAUCGAGGUACAACCAAAUUGAGUUGCAGGUGGAACUAAAUUGAGUUGCAAAAGAAGAUGUUGAAGAUGGGGAAGAAGAGGGGGGGGGGGGGGGUAUUGCUAAAGUUUUGGUAUAAUUUUUUUGACAUCUUCAUCCAAUGGGGGGGGUAACUGCUAUAUUUUUUCAAACGGGAGGGGGUAACUCAAAUUUAGACUUUCAAAUGGGGUUAAAUGCCAAAAUCUCUAUAUUAUAUUUUCAUUUUCAUGGUCCAUAGAACUUCCAUGUUGCAUCGAUGUUGCCGAUGAUAUUUGUUAGUGCACAUUUAGUUUUGCAUUUAGUAUCAAGCCACCAACCUGGAUUCCUGAAUUUGUCGCCAACACAAUAAAUCCAACAACUAUCAUAACAAGGAGGAUAAGCAGCUACAUAUCGAGAUUGAACUUGAAAAAUAAUAAUGAACAAUAGCGCAAAGAAAUUUAUAUAUCUAUUUUCCAUGUUUAUGUUUAUUUUUUUGUUAUUCUAUGUUGAUAUUUGGACGAGUGUAAAAGAAAGUAUAUGACUAAGUUAAAGACGAUAAUAGAUUUAUAUGACUAAGUUAAAAGAUGAUAAUAGAUGUCAAUUAAAACUUUUGAAUUAUAAUCAGUUUCAUUAUUAUUAAUUAUUUUAUUUAAAUAAAAAUAAAUAUCAGUUAAAGUGGUGACAUAAGCAAUUGUAAAAUGGUAUAUAUAUAGCUUUUACUCCCUCUAAAUAAUGUCUAUUUAGUUUAUGAUAUCGAUUGUUUUGUUUAUUCGGUUUAAGUACCACUUCUAUAUCAGUUAAAAAAAAAAAUUGUUGUGUCCAUUUAAGUAUUCUAUGCGAUAAAUCUAGAAUGUUGUUGUUAAUUAAUGUUGUAAAAAAAUAAAUUUGUUGUGUCAAUUUAAGUAUUCUAUUUAGUUUAUGAUAUCGAAUGUUUGGACGUAUUAGUAGGGGUGCAAUUCGAGCCAAAUGAGCCGAGCUAGGGUAUGCUCGAACUCGGCUCGCUACUAACCGAGCCGAGCUCAAAAUGAAGACCGAGCUGAACUAUGAGCUCGAGCUCAGCUCACGAGCCAACUUUAAAACUCGAGCUCGUCAGCUCGCUCGGUUCGGUUUGGCUCAUUUCGGCUCAUUUCAGCUCGUUUCCUGGGCUCGGAUCAGCUCGUUAGCUUAAUAUUUCGGUUUUUUAUGUUUGUAUUUAUAUAAAGGGUAAUAUAAUAAUAAUUUCACGAGCUGCUCGGCUCGGCUGGUUUAGAGCUCGGGCUCGUGACGAGCUGAAAAACCUGCUCGAACUCGGCUCAUUUAGGUAAACGAGCGAGCCGAGCCGAGCUCUUAUCGAGCCGAGCCCGAGCCGCUCGGCUCAAAUUGCAGCCCUACGUAUUAGCGCUAACUACCACUUCUAUAUCGGUUAAUUAAUGUUGUUUGAUUCGGUUAAGUAAUUAUAUAUAUAUUUUUUCUAAAAAAAAUUAACUUAAAUAAAACUAAUCACAGUUGGAAUGGUUGGCUGUGAUGGAAUCUUUCCAAGUUUUUUAAACGACGGAAAUUUUUAUUUGUUUGGGUUUAAUAAAAGUACACAACUAAAAUAUGGAUUGUUAUUUAUAUGGAAUUAAAAUAAAGGGUUAGAACAUAAUUUUUAUAAUGGAAAUUAUAUUAAACUAAGGGUUAAAAAAUGAAUUCCAUUAUAAUUUUUUUUUUUUUAUUUUCUAGCUUCUUCUUAAAUAUAGGCACUUACCACAAAAAGUGAAGAAAAAACAAGGAAAACUAAGAGGAACAAAAAAGACUAAAAACCAUCGUAAAUCUAUAUCUUAAAUGCAAUUUAUUUAGUAAUUAUAAUAGAAAAAAAGAUUUAUUUAUUUAUUGUUGAUUUCAUUGAUUAGUAAUAUUUCUUUGUUGUUGGUGUGUGAAAGGACUUGCAGCCUAGUUUUAUAACACGUUUGUCCUCUACUUUUGUGUAGAUUUUUUUUUUUAAUAAAAAACUAUUUUAUUGAUAAGCUCAAAGAAUUACUCAAAAGUAUAUAGGACAAGCGCGCUACAAACUGCGCUGCAAGCCCUUUUUAAAUACGCCAAAUGUCAGGUGCUCGCCACACCACGCGUCUUGCGCAUAAGGCACAAAAAUGGUAUUGCGCCCAGGUGCGACUACCUUGGAUAUAACCAUCUUCCUAGUAUAAAGUUUAGUAAAGAAGUAAUUGAAAUUCCACAUCCAAGAUGUAACAGAACCUUUUUCAGGAAAUCUGAUAACCUAUGAAGACUGUACUAAUCAGUUCACGUCUUAAGCUUGUCUUAUGGCCAAUAUAAAGAAACAAUAACGGAGUGGGGAUUCUUCAUCCUUAAUCUCGAAAACUUUUGCUUCUCUGUGAAAGCAGGUGGUGGUAUGAGUGGCAGGCAACUUUUAAACGUGAUUACUUCAACAAUCCGUGGAGGACAAUUCUUUCGUUUAUUAGUGCUAUUCUCAUUAUCGUCUUUACCAUGACAGUAUGACACAAACUAUUUUUUCCAUUGUCGUCAUAUAUAUACGAAAGUUUUAUCCUUGGCGCUAUAAUCAUCGAUGCCAAUGUUUUGGCAGAUUAUACAUUAAGGUGAAUGAAAUUGAGUGCUUUGGUACUUUGGUAGCACAGACAGUUCAAAGGAUAAUGGCCAAGAUGAAAAUUUUCUCUUCAACAAAAUCUGCCAACAGAAUAAUCUCAAAAGCUUUUUUUUUCUCUACACUUUCAUCCUUUGCUCUGUAAUAGCCUUGGCAGAUCCUACAUAAGGUGAAUGAAAUUGAUUGCUUUCGAAGCACAGACAGUUCAAAGGGUAGCACUAUAGGGUUGUAGGUAACUUGGUAUAUUGCUAGUGUAAGAAUAUCUGUUAUGUUGAAUUGUUGAUGCUCUAAAAGCUUUCUCUGUUCUUCAAGAUUAUAUAAAAGUUCUUUAAAAUAAACAAUCUAUCUAUCUAUCUAUCUAUCUUCUAUCUACUAUAUUAAACGUCAAAAAAAUUCGAGGGCAUUUCCCGGACGCACAGAAUCGCUCCUUUAGAAUUUGUUCCCAUUUUGAGACCAAAAUACCCUUAUGGGCCUGGUUUUUUAGACUUUGCACAUUUAAACCUUAGCACCAAGAGUACGAUUUCUUUUUAGCGUUUCUUCUUCUUCUUCUUCUUCUUAAUUGCCACUUCUCCUUCCUUCGUCAAACCGACGAUCUACUUCUUCUUCAACCACUUCGUCUUGGUUUCCAAAGGUUAGUCUCCCAUCGAUUUUUGUAAUAAUUUUAUGGAAAUUGGCGAUGCAGAUUUGAAAGAGAUCAGUUAUUUUAACCAUUUUGUAUGCUUGUGAUUUUGUAAUUCUAUGGAAAUUGAUGCAGAUUCUAUAGAGAUGAAGAGGUGCUUGAUUAAUGAUUUGGUUUGGUGAUCACUUAUCGAGUUUGCGAGACUAGGAAGCUUUUCCAAAUAUAUAUUAUGUUUGAAGAAAUGCUAAAGAGAGGUAUUCAUUUAUUCUAGAUUGAUUUAUUGAAGUUUGCUACAUCACUGAACAUAUAUGGUUUCUUUUGAUUGUCAUAGAUGCGUUCAUAAAAAUAUAUAUAUUAUGUUUGAAGAAAUGCUAAAGAGAGGUAUUCAUUUAUUCUAGAUUGAUUUAUUGAAGUUUGCUACAUCAUUUGAACCCAUAAAGAUCUGAUUUGGGCAUUCUCUCUCUUCACCAGAAUCGAGCUUUAGAAUUUUUUUUUCACAUAUCCUGACGAAAAAUACCCUUUUGAGCAUGGUUUUUCAGUAAUUUCGCAUUUAAUUACUAAUUUAUAUUUGAACCCCCUGGACAAAACAAUAUCUCUCUUUUCAUCAUUUUUCAUCGUAACCUUCUUAAUUCAUCACCUCAAUUUUGACACUCCUCCACUGCACAGGACACAGGUUAGUAGUACUAUCUUCUUAAUGUUUGUAAUCCAACUUAUUUUUUUUUGCAACUCAUUUUGAAAAUUCUCAAACGUAUAGGAGUAGUUAUGAUAUUCAAAAAGUAUUCUUUGUUUGAAUAGUCUAAUUUUAGAUUUGCCUGAUAUUCAAAUAGUAUUCUUUGUUUGAAUAGUCUGAUCGACAUACUCUGCUGGCAGUAUUUUUUACCUUUUCAAACGUCUAUUAUUUUGAUUGGUAGGGCUUCUCUGUUUCGGCUAGCAAGAAACUCAUUCAGAAUGACAUAAUGGUUAAGGAAACGAGAGAAGCUCGACAAUUGUUUGACAUAAUGCCUGAACAGGUGUAAGUUGUCUUCUCUCUUUUAGGAGUUUUGAAAUCCUGAGCAUUUAGAUUUGUUCUAACCUCUUCUGAAGUUGUGAAUUCUGCAAUGAAUGUUUCUUAGGGUAGUGAGUGUUAAGGAAAAGGUCUCCAUAUCCUUGAGCUUGCUUCGAGAUUCAAAAAAGCUCAAAUCAGAUCUAUAUAUCGUACUCACACUUGCAACAUGUGCAUUUUUUCUAUCGAAUCUCGAAGCAAGCUCAAGGAUGAGAUGCAGAAACGUGGACAACACGAGGAGUUGGGAUUGCAUAACCCAAGUUCAAUAUGAGUGUAUGGUAUUGACUUCAUGGCACAUUAAUAUUAGUUCUCCAUCCAGGCAACUGUGGUCGGCGCAUGUAUCGUUCAAGACCGCGAAUAAAUUCAGUGGCUAAGGGGACAUUUCUCCCAUGGUUGGUAGUUUCUUGAAUUUCUCGGACUGAUAAAGGGACAUCUUUUGCUUCCUUCUUAUGUUCUUCUCUUUCUUCUGUCCACUACUUCACACUUCUUCGUUUUCGUUUCGAAAGGUUAGUCUCAACAGUUUCUAAUUCUACAAAAAUUGAUUCAAAUUUGAUCUGUUCAUACUCUUUUAGGUCAGUUAUUUACACUAUUUUGAAGCAUAUUCUAUGGAGAUGAAGAGGUGCUUGAUUGAUGAAUUGGGUUGGUGAUCAUUUCGUGCGAAAACAGGAAAGUUUUCCCAAGCAUAUAUUAUAUUUUAAGAAAUGCUCCAGAGAGGUAUUCAUUUAUUAAUUUGGUGUUUCCAGGAUGAAAUUGAUUUAUUGAAGUUUUCUCCGUCACUGAAUAUAUGGUUUCUGUUGAUUGUCAUACAUGUGUUCAUGAGAAAAUAAGAUUUUCAAAUACAUGCAUUGAGAUCGUCAAGAGUGCGAUAUAUAAGCAUUAUGUCAUCCUUAAAAUUCCAAGUGUGUUUUUAUUUCAUGAUCAGUUUGAAUUUUGUUCAAUAGAAAUGUACAGCUGCAUAUAGAACAAACCCUUGAAUGAUAGAGAACAUUUAUAAUACUGUUUCCCCUAGCGACCCUUUACUUUCCUCACACAUACAAGCAAAGGUAUUUGUUACACCAUUGGGCAUAUAUGGAUUUUUUAUUUGUCUUAGAAUGUAUAGCUACAUUGCUCUCCAGUUUUAUUCCUCGACAAAAGCCUUGGCAGAUUAUAUUCUUUCAAAAUAGAUAAUCGAACUUAGAUCUAAUAUGGUUAUCUAACUUAAUGAUACUAAUUGUUGUGUAUUGGUGUAGAUAUAACAUCUCGACAAAAGAUGGAGAUUACUAAGAAUCUUGGGAAUCCAUAAAUGGUUGACACUCAAGUAAGCCUAAACAAAUAUCAAUUUCUCUUAGCUUAUCACUAUGUGCUAAUGAUUUCGUUUGAAAUGGUUGCAAUUCAAGAUAAACUAUAAAAUUCUUAGAUUGGUUUGCUUAUAGUUGCAUUUACCAUAGUUUAAAAUACCGAAUCCGGGCGAAAUUUCGGAUUCAGAAAAACGGUAUAUUCCGACAUUCCGACCCUCGAAACAAAUAUGUCACUUGAAAUGUCAGGAAUAUUCUCGGUUAUUCCCGAAAUUUAAAAUGCUGAUUCUCUAAAAACCGGCAUAUUCUGCCGAAAUUUCGGGAAAUAUGUCGGCAUUUUUAACCAUGACAUAUACUACAUUAAUGUAAUUCUACUAUUACUGAAAAUCUCGCAUGUUGGUUGAAAUUCAAACUAUCUUCAAGAAAUUAGAUGCAGAUCCAACACCUGAUUUAUUUGUGAGGUAUCAAGUAUGAAUGCAUUACUGAUUCCUCUAUGAUAUAUCCAGACUCUAGACAAUAUUGCCUUUUAAACUCUACAAUUGAAUGCAAAAGAAUUUUCGUAUUGAGCCCUUUUUUUUCAUCAUAUAUGAUUGAUUAUAUGUUUGAGAUGGUGAUGAAAUACUUCACGAUUUAGAAAAUUGGAUGCAUGUUAUAGAUCUGAUGGUAAGUAACUUUUGGUUUUCAAGCUCAACAUAGACCUUUUCCUCUUCCGCAAAAUCUUCUCCCAUUCCUUCCAUCACUUACCCUUUCUUCUGCACACAUCAAUCUUUUCCCUUUUCUUAUUUCAAUCAGUUGUCUUUUUUCUAAAUCUAUUCAAAUUUUUCUUCUUCUCAAUAUUUUAAACAAUCUAAACCAGAUUAAUCUCAGCUUUCAAAAAACAGGUAACACUUUGUUGAAAAACCUAUGUUGUUAUUCAUGUUUUCAUUUCGAUCGUUUUGAGUCACAGGAUGGAUUUUAAUUUAAAUGACAACAUUCUAUGUUUACAAUUGAGUGGAAAGCCAUUGGAAUCUGUUAAUCUUUACUGCACUGUUAUGCGUAUACGCCAUGCAGGCUCUAUGUGUGUCUGCAAUUACAAUGGUGUUCUAUAUAUGUAAUUUGACUGAUGAUCCUUUUACAUCAUGUCCUUUUCUGUUGAACUGACAGUUUCAAAUUAAUAGUUAUACAUGUGUGAACUGUCUGUAUAAGAUCUUCUUGAUGUUCUUACUUUAGACAUUAUUUUGUUUAAUGUGGAAUUAAAGAAUUGAACUCAUAACCUGUUAUGUAUUUUCUGUACAGAUUUGAGGAAUUUUUGUUCUUGGAUGGACUAAUUUCCGAUUCAUUUUUUUGUUUGAUGGAUUAAAUCAUCAAGUCACCCACAUAUAUAGGUCCAUUCUUGAUUCUUUAAGCUUUGGAUCAAGAAAGUCGGCCAGUCGCUAGGCAUGUUUUUUGAUGAAGUAUCUUCAUUCUGCUUUUCAUACUAUAAGUUUUUAAAAUAAGUUCGGUUAACUCAUAUUUUUUUUCGAUAGCAAAGAAUUGUCAAUAGAGAUCUAAAUAAACUCGGUCUCUCAGCUUAAAACUUGAUUUUGUGAAGGAAGUUGAAUAUUGCCCCAUGUUCAUGUCCUUCAUUAAUUUAAGGUAAAAUUUUGGAUACCCGACAUAAAGUUAUAUAUUUCUUUGCUUGCAUAUUAUGAAUUUCAUUGAAUAGAAAAGUAGGUGUUGAAUUGACAUCAGAGAAAAAAUGGAUCAUUCUUAUAUUUUGUUGUUUGAUUUCUUGAGUCAGACAACCUACCACUUAAUAGUUUUGGGUUGCUUUAUUUCAUUUACCACCGUAUUUCAUUUCAACCUAGAUCUUUAUCCACAUCUCAUUCUGUUAAACCUACAUCUUUUGGUUGUCAAUUCUGAUAAUUAAAGAUUAAUGCAUGUUUAACAUAUUUAUGUCCAAUAAGCAACAAUGCAACAUGGCAUUGAUGCAGGUAGUUACUACACUAUAUUCUUAUUGUUAUUCAAAAGAAGAAAGUUUGAGUCCACACAUCACACAUUUUUAUUUAUGCAAGAGGAGUUUUGUUUGUUAACAAUGAGAGCAAGUAUACCAUAGAUAUUUUUAUAGUUCUACUUCGGUAUUAUUUUCUUACUGUAGGAUUUAUAGACUGAAAAGUUCAUGUAUAGAUUGAGAACGAGCCACUUCGAAUGGUCCAGAUUUCAGAUUUGAUAGUAGGGAUAAAAAUUGAUUAUUAAUAAUUGUUCUUUCCCUUCUUGUGCAGAUUUGAGUGAACGGUUGUACGGUAUGGUUUGAUCUCACUACCUCCGAAAACUUGCUACCACAUUCCACAAGGAAAGGUUAGUAUUUACUAUUAGAUAGCUUUGUUUUUCUUUUUCAUUUUAUCUUUUAUCCAUUUUGAAUUCCUCUCCAAAAACAUACUACAACUUCUUCUCUUCCCCCACAACCUCUUCUUCUUAGUUUGCACGAUAUUGUUUUCGUAAAUUUUGCACAGGUUAGCAUACUAAUAUGGUGUUUUUGUAUUUUUCUAAAUGAUCCAUGACAUGAAUUCGUAACAACGAUUGUAAACAUAGUUUUAGUCUUAUAUUAACUCUACGACAUCCAAGAAUCCUAUUACUGUGAGGGUAUGCUAGCGAUGGAUAUGUCACAGAGAAAAUUUAGUGUCAUUAGGUUUAUUGGUCUUCUAGCGAUGGAUAUGUCACAGAGAAAAUUUAGUGUCAUUAGGUUUAUUGGUCUUCAAUGUGAACUGUAGGCUGGCCAAGGGAAAUUGAUUGUUUUAAUGUAUACAUAGAAAAACAAAUAUUUUGCACUGAAAAGAAGAAUUGCAUCAUGCAUUUCAACAUAUAGUUCAAAAGAUGUUGUAAAUCUUCUAGAAAUACAUUUUGCUCUCUUUUUAAUUACAGUUUUCUUUCAUUGCAGGCCCUUCCAUCAAGUUGCCUUCAAGUAAGGGUUUUCCUAGGUGAUUUAUUUCCUUUUUCAAUGGAUGAUCCAACAUAUUUGUUAAAGCUAGCGUGGGAAGCAGGAAAACAACUUAUCAUUUAAGAAGUGGAAGUUGUACCACCACGGAAUAUGAAGGUGCGUUUAUAAAUCUUAAAUUGAUUAUAGAUUUUCUCCAUCUAUUUGGUGUAGUAUUAGUUAUGGAUUUUAAUAGUCGAGAAUCUGUGCUUUUGUAUACAAUUUGUAUUGUCAUUUUAAGCAUAGGUGAAAAUUUCGAAUAAACUCGAAUAUCCGACCCUUGAAAAAUCGGUAUAUUCUGCGAAUAUCCGGACCCCAAUGUCGGAAUUGGAAGGUUUGGCAAAAUGGUUUUCGCGAAAUAUUGCUCGAAUAUUCGCGGAUAUUCACGAAAAAUUCGAAUAAUUGUAUUAAAUAAAUGUGGGAAUUAUAUUUAAAAAUAAAUGUGUUAAUUUCAAAUUCGAAAAUUUUGUAAUUUUCGUACUUUUCGAAUAUUUCGCAAAUAUUCGUAAAAAUCCGGUCGGCAUGGGGAGGUUUAUGUUUUGUUUAUUAUUCGUAUGCCGUACCGCUCCGAAUUCCCAAAAAUCGGCAAAAUUGGUGAAUAUCCGCCCGAUAUUUUCGAUUUUUUCACCUAUGAUUUUAAGAACAUUUUUUUUAACGAUAAGAACAUUGCAUUCUCAAAUAUUUCGUUGCUAGCACUAUGCAUCACUUUUCUCAAUAUACACAAUAUUUUGUUUUUCGUUUGUUUUAUAGGAGUAUAAAAGAUUUUGGGAAGUAGGUUGAUGGUAGAAAUCUAAAAAACUAAAAUUAUUGCGUUAUCAAAGAGUGUUUUUGUUAGGAUAAAUCAGGGUUUUUUCCUUCCAAAAUUCUUCUUUAAAUCACGCCUUAGAUGUUUUAUGAAUCACCUGUUUGUGAAAAUGGAUACUCCCUCCAUCCCAAUUUGAUAGUCCUAUAUUCCAUUUUAAGUUGUCCUAAAAUGAUGGGAACUUUCUAUAUUCGUAUGCGUAUUAAUUAGGCUAAUUUGAAUUUUUUACUUGAUUACCCAUUCUUGAAAAGAGUGCAAAUAGAAAAUGAUGUUAGUAGUAUUUUAUUUGUAAGUCAUCAAAUAAGGGUAAAGUUGGAAAUAUAGUUAAUUAUAUCUAUAAUAAAUGACGUGCCCUUAAAAAGUUGGGUUUUCUAUAAAGGACUAUCAAAUUGGGACAGAGGGAGUAUAUUUUUGUGUCCCAAAAUUACUUGCAUAUUUGCUUUUGAAACGUCAAUUCAAGAAAUUGAUCCAAUAAAUAGUAUUAGAUGUAUAUAUAAAUGUUCUUAGGCUUCCCACUUCAUCUCAUUAAAUGGGAUACCAUUUGUUGUUCUCAAAGUACAGGUCGCCCUUCAACAUCUUUUGAACUUUCUAUGUCCAAAACUUUUUUUCUUUUCAUCACCCCUAGAGAAACCAUUCCUCUCUUCUACCAAAAUCCAUUUCGUAAUCUUAUUUAAUCUCUUAUGUUGUGAUACCUUUAUUAAAAUCCAUUUCGAGUUUUUGAAAAUUUGAUAUCUUAUGUUUGGAAGAAUAACCAUAUUUUCUUUUGGACUUCCUAACCUUUAGAGUUAAAGCUGAAAUUUUGAAAAUCAAUAUAGUUUGACGUUUGAACCAUAUAUCCAUAUAUUGCAUGCUUUUUUAUUAGCAUAAUUGAUAUGUUUGAUAGACCCAAAAUUAUUGACGGACUUUGUGAAACUAAUUCUGCUGGUAUUAUUAGAGGUAUACAGAUGUUCUUAAGAAAAAUAUGUUUUAAAUACCAUUGAAAAUGUUGUUAUAUUUAUGUUUAUAUUUUGCAGAGGACUUCAGCUAUAAGCCAUUAGCCAUGUAUAUGGAAGGGGCACUUCUUCAAUUUCUAUAUUCAAGUAUCACUUAUGUCGAUUACAUCCAGUUUCAAUUCCUCUGCAAUAGAGUAAGGCAUGAUACAAGAACAAAGCAAGGCACAAUCCCUUCUUUGACGGCUCAUCUAGAACACUAGAGGUAAGCCAUCAUUCAGAAAAAUUGAAAUCUCUUUUUACAUACACUCGUGACAACCUUUUUCUUUUUACUUUUUUCCCCCCCUUAUUCUUAGAUUCAAUGAUUUAGUAGUUAUUUUAUUUUUGAUAAAUAGGAAAUUUAUUGAUUAAGAGAGAGUACAAAGACAACUACAAAAUUGAGUGAGGGAGGUAGUAGGCCCCAGUUCUGUUUUGGGAUGUUUUGAGAUUGGAUUCUACAGAAUUAGGAUUUAAACAAACAAUAAUCCAGUUUUUAAGGGUUUUAUCGAUUUAGAAGAUACCCAUUCAAGUUGAGAUUUAAUUUUAUAGACAUGUUAAACAUGUACUUAAAAUGAAUUGAGUUUUUAGACUUUUAUGAGUUUAUUGGCUAGAAUUCUUGGAUGGGUGAGUAAUGUAAGAAACUAGAGAACGAGAGAAGCCUUUUAUGGUACAAUUAAUAUUCAUGUAAUAAUGCUAUUUAAAGACAGGCUACGCCCGAGAUAAUAACCAAUUCACAUUGCUAUUCAAGGCGUAAGACCCAAACGACUUGGGAAAAAGGUUGCCCUGGAGAUACUAAUGUAAUUCAUAUCAUUUCAACUUAAGAGAGAAGUACUAAGAAUCUUGGGAAUCCAGUAAUGGUUUGCCCAGAAGAUAAGCUAAAGAUUCAUGGAAGUUUGAAGAGAGGUAAUGGAAGCCUUCUAAGUUGUAUCCCUUUCUUUGAUGUUUUAAUUGAAACCUUAAGCAAUUAAAAAAAAAAAAAUAUUGUGUAUAGGAGCAAAAAAAAAUUGUUUAUCACUCUUAGUGAUGGGAUGGUAAGUUAAGUGAGAUGCCAUCAUAUGAUGAUUACCAUUUAGUUCCUUAGAGCACUUACAGUAACGAAAGAUAGUUGAUGUUAUUUAUUAUUUUCUACUUUAUUAAUUUUUAUAUGUUUGACGGAGUUUGAAAGCGAAUAAAUAACCCAUGCAUUUAUUUUGGUCUUUUAGAAUUCUUAGAGGUAAAGCUAACAUGCUUAAACAUUAGUCAUUUGACACAUAUUUUCUCAUCAAUAUUUAUUUGAACACAUUCAUCCUAUGAUUGCAUGUCUAAAAAAGAGAUAUUGACUCAAUUUUUUGAAAAUUGAUGGAUUUGAGUGUCCCCUGAAAUUAUUGAAUCAUGAAAUUACUGAUAGCCUAUAUGGCUUAUACAAAAUCUCUAAAGUUUUUUUAGGAGAACCUUAUUUUUCAAUGUCAUUAUAGUAUCUCUCUAAAAUAUAAUUAUAGAAACUACUUGUGUUGUGUUGUUGAAUCUCCUCCUCUACUCACAGAAAUUCACUACCUACAUCUUAUAUUCUUGCUGCUGUAAUGUUCAAGUGGACUUUUCACUGAUUUUCAGGCUAUCCAAGGAAUCACUAUUUAGUCUUAUGAUAUUGAACGCGAUCCAACACAAGGCUCUGUUAAAGCUAUUUUCGUACGCUAAGCUAUGCAAGAUUUGUUGGGAAGGAAAGUUAGAAUUGGCUAGCACAUAACGUCGAUUCCAGCAAGAAAUUUUGUUAAUUUUAGACAACUUCAAACAUUACUUUAAAACUGUUUGUAUGACUGAUACAAUCUAUUAAUGUGCUAGAUAUGUUACUAAAAGUGUUGUAACUUCUCAUGUUUAAAUUGAAUCAGUAAAACUUUGUAUCUUUUUGAAAAAACCCAAGUUGCCUAAGAUAUUUGACAAUUGUUUCAAAUAAUAAUUCAGAUUGUUACUUGGUUUCACAAUUGUUAAAUGAUUAGAGGCAUGCAAGAGUAGUAACAAAAUAUGCAUCUUCGACAAAUUAGUGCAUUAUCAAGAAAUGUUAAAUAUGCUAAACAUGCUAUCAUGAAUUCAUCGUAUAAUGUUUGCAACGUAAUGGAUUAUAUUUGAGUUCUUAGAUAUUUUUUAUUACCUUCGUGAUUUAUUUAAGUGCGUAGUGACAUCUUAAUUUUAUAACGUCCAUUUUCAAUUAAAAAUCUUAGCAAUUUACACCAUUAUGAACAUAUAUUAUUAAUAAUGAUAGCAUUGCAAAUGCCCAUUUUAUGUUUCAUUCAUUCGGUGUGACUUAACCGAGUAAAUCAUGAUAUAAUCCAUCCAGCUAAAUAAUCAUCGCUUAGCCCGUGCGUAGCACGGGUUCACCACUAGUAAUUUAAUAUUAAUCAAAACCUUUCUUCUAAAUCAAUUCUAACAAUAUUUGAAGUCGUUUUUUUCUGCACCCAACAAACAAAAAUACAAAAAUUAAAUAUUCUUGCAAAAUAUUCUUGCAAAAUUAAAUAUUCUUGCAAAAUAGUUGAUGCCGGCCGUGAGUCUUUGUACCCAACAGUUCCAUUUUCCACUAGUUUUCCUUUCGACAUUUUAAAUUCAGAACACUGUUUAUCUCUUGUCGUGGCUAGACAUUUGGAAAGUCCCUCGCUUGAGGUGGAGGGUAUUUCGGCUGAUUUGAUAUCGGCCGAGGAGUUUUAUGGGAGCCCCCGCGAGGUGACUCCCAUUAGUGUAGUAAGGGGUCCCAUUGAGGGAGAUGAGACCCAUAGGGCUUGGUUAGAAGCACAUAGGGAAGAGUUUUGCGCGAUAUCUGGUCUCACUCAUCAAGGGAACUGUGAUGAGACUUUAGAGCUCCUUAGUGACAUCAUGGGGACUAGGAGCGUUCCGAGCUUACACCAAGACUUGAGCUUGGUGCUAGCUCAACAGUUUGAUGGUGAUAGUUUGAGUUUAAGAAAGGCUACCCGCACAGCCAGAGAGCUUGGACGGUUAAGUUCGGGGGUUAACUAUGGUGAGAAUUCUCUUAGUAGCAAGAGGAUUGGGCGAGUGUCUAAGUUUCCCAUAUGACGACACCAAAAAUAUUGUCUUGGAAUGUCAGAGGUUUGGGUGAUGUUAGGAAAAGAGUUGUUGUUAAGGACUUCGUGAGUCGAUCGCGCGUUGUUAUUGUCACGCUUCAAGAAACCAAACUUGAAGUAAUAGAUUUUGGGGUUAUUAGAGAUAUUUGGGGGUUGAAUAAUGUUGGGUGGAUCACACUCCCCUCUGUGGGUACCGUUGGUGGCGUGUGUGAUGUGGGAUAGAGACGUUAUCGAUAUGGAUGAUUAUCGCAUUGGUGUCUUCUCUGCCACCAUUGUUUUUAGGUUGGUGGGUGAUAAUGAUAGUUGGAUGUUCUCUGGAGUGUACGGGCCUACUAAUAAAAGUAGUCUCCGUGAGUUGUGGGAAGAGUUGGAUAAUGUUCGCGUGUUUGCUAGUAGCAUUCCGUGGUGUGUGGCAGGGGAUUUCAAUGUAGUGAGAUUUACGGAUGAAAGGAAUCGAGGGUGUACCACUGAUAGCCAUAUGCGGAGGUUUGCAGAUUUUGUUAGCAAACAUGAUUUGGUUGAUCUCCCUUGUACAGGAGGGAAGUAUACGUGGUUGGAUAACAAAGAGGUGCCCACCUUGGUUAGAUUAGAUAGGUUUCUGGUUGAUUGUCUUUGGGAUGGGAAAGUAAGGGAAUUGGUCCAAACUAUCCAUUCAUCUGGGGUCUCGGAUCAUAGGCCUAUUACUUUGGAGACCAUAAGUAACCCGAGGAGACCGUCGCCGUUUAGGUUCGAAUUGAUGUGGCUCAUAGACCCAUCUUUCGAGGACUUAGUUAAGGGUUGGUGGAUGGAGAAGAGCUUCACGGGUAGACCGAGUUGUGCUUUUGCUAGAAAGUUCAAGUUCCUCAAAUCCAAACUUAGAGUGUGGAAUAGGGAGGUCUUUGGGUGUGUGGAGCUCAAAAAGUCUAAGUUAGAGGCGUAAUUACUUGGACUUGACACCGUGGAGGAAACUCGUCCCUUGUCGCUUGGCGAAAUUGAGAGGAGAGCUGUAGUGAAGAAUGACCUCCAAUUGACCGUCCUUAUGGUGGAGGUUCAGUGGAAACAGAGGUCGAGGGAGAAAGAUGUGCGAGAAGGGGAUCAAAAUACCAAAUAUUUUCAGUCCCUCGCUAAGGCUAGGCGGAGGAUGAACUCGUGCACCACCCUCAAUAUUGGGGGUACCCUUGUUGAGGACGAGGACCUCAUUCGGGAGGAGAUUGUGAGGUUUUACACUAAGCUCUAUACUGAACCCCCCAUAUCUAGGCCUCUUCUAGACAAUCUGGACUUCGGGGAGUUCUCUGUUAAAGAUAGAGAUGAACUAGAGAGACCCAUCUUGGAGUGUGAGGUUCUUAGUGCGUUAAAAGAGAUGGAGGGAGAUAGGGCUCCCGGGCCAGAUGGUUUUCCUGUAGAAUUUUUUAAGAAGUUUUGGGGUAUUCUUAAGGACGAGUUGAUGGCUGUGGUUAAGGAUUUUGAACUACACUGUUUUCUAGAGUACAACCUUAAUCACACGUUCAUUACUCUCAUUCCGGUGGAUAUUGGAGAUUUCAGACCUAUCAGCUUGGUUGGGACAACCUAUAAGCUCAUCUCCAAAAUCCUCUCAAUUAGGCUCAAAAGGAUUCUUGAAAAGCUCAUUUCGGAGGGGCAAGGAGCCUUUGUGGCGGGAAGGCAAAUUCUAGAUGGGGUUCUUAUAGCCAAUGAAGCCAUUGAUGAUAGGAGGAGAUCUAAUGUACCGGGUAUUAUUUGUAACAUGGACUUCUCCAAAGCCUAUGAUCAUGUUUGUUGGAGCUUUAUUGAUUACCUCCUUGGGCGUAUGGGUUUCGGUAGGAUUUGGAGAAGUUGGAUUCGUAAGUGCAUCUCCACUGCAUCUUUCUCUGUCCUUGUUAAUGGCUCCCCGGCUGGCUGGUUUAAGAGCUCGCGUGGUCUCAGGCAGGGGGAUUCACUAUCUCCUUUCUUGUUUAUCAUUGUGGGUGAAGCUAUUAGAAGGAUCACCAGGAGAGCCAAUGACUGGGGGGUUUUGUCUGGCUUUAAAGUGGGUAGGGAUUAGAUUCUAGUGUCUCAUCUCCAAUUUGCUGAUGACACUAUUUUCUUUCUUAACAAUGAGGUGAACCAAUUGAGAUAUCUGAGAGGUCUUUUGGCUUGUGUUGAGGCGGUGUCUGGCCUUAAAAUCAACCUUAGGAAGAGUAAGGUGUUUUGUGUGGGGGAUCAUUUUGAUAACUCUGUCUAUCUGGCUGGAGUGUUGGGUUGUGCUUCUGGCGAGCUACCAACCUCCUACCUGGGACUACCGUUGGGAGCUAACUACCGAUCUAGUACUAUUUGGGACCCUGUGGUGGAAAAGUUUGAGAAGAAGCUCGCAGCAUGGAGGGGGCGUUACUUGUCCAAGGCGGGCAGAGUCGUUCUUAUUAAGAGUAGUCUUGCUAGUUUGCCAGUUUACUUUAUGUCCCUUUUUCGGGCGCCGGCCAAGGUGGCAGAUCGCAUAGACAAACUUAUGCGCGAGUUUUUGUGGGGGAGGUCUGAGGAUAUUCAUCAUUACCACCUAGUUAGUUGGGAAAGGGUUUCUGCCACUAAGCUCCAUGGUGGCUUAGGGCUUAAGAAGACCAGGGUGAUGAAUAGGGCUUUACUGUCCAAAUGGUUGUGGAGGUUUAGCAAGGAACAUCGGCGUUUGUGGAGAUGUGUUAUCGUCUCCAGACAUGGCGUGGAUGCUUUGGGUUGGUAUAGCAAACAAGUAUCCAUCCCAUAUGGUUGUGGGGUUUGGAAAGGUAUCAUGAGAGAGCUUGAGGACUUCAAGCUCAACAUUAGAUUUAGUAUUGGUAGAGGGGAUAGAGUGAGAUUCUGGGAGGAUGUUUGGUCAGGGCAUAGUCCCUUGAGUAGGGACUUUCCUGAUCUUUAUGCCAUGACAAAUUGUAAAAACUUUACCUUUAAUAAUUUUGUUCUAGUGGAAAAUGGAAAUGUUUCAUGGGUUCUUAGCUUCAGACAGGCGUUCAACGAUUGGGAGUUUGAUGACUUAACUGCCUUAUUGGCCCGGAUUGGAUCCCCACCGAUGCCUACUCCCCAAGAGGACAAGCUAGUAUGGGUCCAUGAGCCCAAAGGUUGUUUCUCUGUUAAGUCUUGGUAUCCUACUUUACUUCUUGUGUCUCCCCAUUACCCACCACCUUUGCCUCAUCCUAGAUUCUCUUGGAAAUAUUGUUGGGGGGCCAAAAUUCCUCCUAGGGUUGCUUUCUUUUCUUGGUGUACUAGUCUUGGGAGUAUUCUUACCAUAGAUAAUUUGCGCAGGAGGGGUAUGAUAAUUGUAAAAAAAAUUUCUUUGUGUUAUGAGUCAGGGGAGUCGAUAUGUCACACUCUCAUUCAUUGUCGGUUUUCUUACUCUAUUUGGGGAUACUUUGUUAAAUCUACUUCUUUAACGUGGGUAGGGCCUGAGUCGGUUAGUGAUCUUCUUUUGAUGUGGCGUCAAUUAGCGGGCUUAUCCCAGAUUAGAAAAAGAAUUUGGGGUAUCAUUCCGUAUGCGAUUCUGUGGGGUAUUUGGCUGGAGCGGAAUCGAAGACAUUUUCAGGGAGUUCAACGUGAUGUGGAUCGCACCAUCCUUGACAUCAAAGGACUCAUAUCCCUUUGGUGCAAGAGAUGGCAUGAUUAUGGAGAGAUUCCUUAUGCUUCUUUUGUUUACUCUUGGGAGAAUGUUCUAAGUGGCCCUUGAUGUAGAGUUUCUUAUAGUUUUUGUUGUUUGUUCUUCUGUGUUUUUUUUUUGUUUCCUUGACUAGGGAUAUCUCAUCCCUUGGCUUUGUUUGUAAUCAACUUUUUGAUAUGAAUAUAUUAUGCUCGUUUACCUCUCAAAAUAAAUAAAUAAAUGAGUUAAAUGAGAGUUUAAUUCUGAGUUUGUAAUCUUAGAAGGUUCCUACCUUUGCUGCCUAAAGCACAUUAACUCUAUCCUUUCCUGAUGACACACAUUAAAGAGUUGCAUGUUGCUGCCCUCCACCAUUGUCUGCCAAAAAAGUGACAUAAUUUCUUUGACUUACCAGGCAAAAAAAAAAUAAAAAAGAUUAUUUGAUGUUGAUUGGUAACUACAAUUUUCUUAUUUAAAAAAAAAAAAUUAUUAGAUACAACAUAGUAUUAGAUAAUAGGGAUUAUAGGACAAGGUCGAACGAGAAAAAAAAAAUUUAUUUAAACUUUUCCCAGAUGAUACAAGUAUACUCUAGUGCCAACUGACACACCUAUCGAUCAGUGUUUGGUUCCCUGGGAUAUUUCGCGGAUAACUGUUCCAAUGCUAUUGUUUCUGCAGUACAAACAAAGUAAUCAAAUUUCUGUAAAAUGAGUUGAGCACCGUGUUGUUGUUGCGGUUGAAGUGUCAGAUCAGUACAAGGAGCAUGGAUAUAGGCUGGAGAUAGUUGAAAUGAGAAAUUCUGUAAAAUCAUGGCUAGAGCCAUUUUUGCUUGAACCCCACCAAAUGGUAUGAAUGAGAAUUGAUUUUUUGUUGCUUUUAAAACUCCAUCAGAAAAUCUCUCUGGAUUAAACUCUUCUGCAUCUUCACCCCAAAGUUCAUGGCUAUGGUGAAGAAGAAGUGUUGGUAGGCCAAUCUCUACCUAUGAUGGUAUAUAAAUUACUCCAAGUUUCACUUCAUUGUUGGCAGCACGAGUAAUCACUGCAAUAGGCGAGUAUAAUCGAAGGACCUCGUAAAUAAUCAUGCUUACCUGCAAAGAUUAUGAUAUAAAUAAACUUAUAAGCAAUCUAUUGGUUAUAACUGGCAUCUAAUAAGAUAAAGUACAUUUGUAGUCUAGAAGUUAACUCUACCGCUCAAUUUAUCGUAUAUUACUUGCAAUUUUCAAUUGGUUCAGCCCCUCAAACUCGGGUUUAUUUUUCCCAAAGUGUUGCAAGACCUCUUCCCUCGCUUUAUCUUGCCAAUCAGAAUGCAUACUCAAUACAAUCAUUGUCCAUACUAGCAAAGUUGAAGUAGUCUCUCGCCCGGCAAAGUAGAACAGUUUGCACUCAUUAUAACUUCAUGUAUACUCAUUCCAACAUCCUUAGAGGUCUCACUAUCUUCCUUUUCUUUCAAAUUCGAUUCGAGUAAUAAUCCUAACAAGUCAUCAUCACAUGUUUGACCGAUUUUCAUAGACUCCUCUCUCUUAUUUAUCAUAUCAGUUAGAAUCGUUUUUAGUUCUUUGUCUAUUUCCAUCAUCUUGCUGUAUUGUUUUGUCGGAAGAAACCAACUGCACAUAAAAGAUACAAAAGGUGAAAUACUGACUGUACAGACAGUAAUAUCAAUUCGGUCUUUCACAUUUUAUAUCCAUUUUUUCACAAGUAAACUGUCUGCGGUGAAGAGAGCGCCUAGGAAAUUCUAGACAGUGAGGUGAGGGCUCGUGUAUCAUCCAUAUUUCAGAUUCUAAUUCUAUCGUGAAUAUAAAAUUUGGUAUGUCUAAAUUCCCUUCUUCCUCACCAUGAAACCAUUAUGAUGUAAUUAGAGAAAUAACACUAACACUUAUUAUUAGUAAUACAUGUAUUUAUCAUUAAUAAGCUAUCAACAAAAGGUUAUUUACCAAUUAAUUUAUUUAAAGAGGUGAUGCACAUACCUUAUGCCUGGGAUGUAUACAGAUUGUAUAGCCUGCAUAGUAAGGCUUGCCAGUUCAGUUUCGAGUUGAAAAAUCCGUUCUCCCUGUUCAUAACUGUUACCAAAUGCAGCUCGAGAGAUAACAGCUGAUGCCAAUUUCUGAAAAAUCUGGCCAUAUGUCAAGUUUGCAUGACAACUCUGACUCGAACUUUUGCAAUUUGCUAACCAACUCGUCGCAGCAUGUAUGAAAUGCAGGUAACAUCAACUACAAUCAACACCAACACUAAUACUUGUUAGCAUUAGACUGUGUGAACCAAUGUUGCGUUGAUUCUUAAUGUUUUUAGUAAAAAGGAAAUGACAGAGAACAACCUUUAACUUCUUGAGAUGGAAAGCUGGAUUAGUUAUCCUUUUGUGUUCAACCCAUGUAUCACCAUCAUAGCUUACUAGUCAUGUUAUCACUAACUUCAAAUAUGGUGUUAAUUUUGUCUUUGAAAAGUAAUGAGACUUGUUGAAAAGAACAUCUCUUAUAUUCUCUGGAUCCAUAAUGUUCACCCUAGCAGUAGGUCCAUGCCAGUCAAGAAAUAUCUUCCCUGCAUUGAACACUCAAUUCUAUAGACUUGACUAAAAGAUUUUAUAUUAAAAUAGAGGAAACUCUAAAAGAAAUGGUUGCUUCAGUAUAAAGUCAAGAAACUAAGGAUACACCUCGGCAUUCCUCACCAAAACAUGUGAUUGACCUUACUUUUAGGCCUUAUCUUUUUGGGAGGUAAGGAUUCACCUGGUGAAGAGCUUCCAAUGCAAAUAUGGAUUCAAAUUAUGUACUCACUUUCAAAUGCCCUUGGGAAGUGAAUUAAAGAAAACCAGACUUCGCUUCCUUCCGAUCAAUAAAAGGUUAGGACUCCGCCUCAAAUGCCCAUCAAAUAUGAUGAAGGUGACACUGAAGGUAAAUAGAACCUAUUUUUUCUCAACAGAUGAUUAAAUCCUUCUUGCAUUUUGAACUCCAAUGAAAGUUGAAUUGGCAAUGCAUCUCCCAUUGGGAGUGCUCUAAUGGUAUACAAAAAACCAUAGUAUCUAUAUGUCUAGCUAUACUCCUUGUUUGCACACCAUAUUUUAUGGAGACAUGGAAAAAUAAUUUGACCUGAAAAAACAUACCUCCGAAAUUUUGUCAGCAAUCGAAAAAGAAUCUUUAGUCUGCAUGGACUUUUGACGUGUUAUAGAUCCAAUAUACCUGAUUAUUAUCAGAACCAUCUUCUUGACAUGUUAUAAAUCGAAUAAAAUUUGUACACUUGAUUGUGGAAUGUGAAAACCGCCAAAAUCAUCUGUUUGAUGUUAAUGUAUUGAUAGAGAGACAUUUUUUCUGCCAACUGGUUCACCUCAAAAGCUGUGUUUAUCUGUUUCAUGCAUGUACUUACAGAGAGGCACAUGUGUUUUAUAAGAUGCCGUGGGAAGAUGUACAGUUAGAUAUGUAAAUAUUGUAAGUGUGUAUUAUGUUGUAGGAUCAUGUAUGUGAGUCCCACAGGAGGGAGUGUAUAUGAACAGGAAGUGUCUGCACACAAAUUCUAAAGUAAUGUAUUACAAUAGCAAAAUAGUUACCAUCAGUAAGAGUUCACACUUUAUAUUUUGUAUGGCAUUGUUAUUAGGAAAUCGGCAGUGUUUUGUUCAAACAAUUUGUUCUAUUUUUCUAAUAAAAAUUGUGUCAUGUUAUGAAAAGAGAUUACUCAAUUAUGUACUAUACAACAAAAUAAAGUUAAACUUGUGAAAAGGAAAUACCAUAUUUCUCAACCCCCUGCUGAGUAAAAGGGAUGACGGGUGGCGGGUUACAAUGCGAAAGUUCCAUAGGUUUUGAUCUUGCUUCUAUCUCCAUAAUAGCUAGUUCUUUCAAGUUCCCUUGCAAUCACUUGUAAGGACGGCCGCCAAUCCCUUGCUGUCUCGGGUAUUUUUCCAGCUUCUUGGGUUUCAACCAAACCCAAUAUAACACUUUCAAGGCCAAUGAAAACACCAAAACAACAGAGAUUCCAAGCACAAUUAAAAAAGCCAUUGGAAUUUUUUCCUCUCUUCUCUUAUCUCUCUUUCUUCAAUUGAAACGAAUCUCUUUUAUAACGAAACAUAACAUAGUCUUUAGAAUAAUUCAAAUGAGUAUUCUUAGUCUGCCGUAUGUUUGACUAAUUGGAAGUACAAGUAAUUUCUUCACGACAAUGAGCUAAACUUUCAACACCACAAACAUUUGUUCUUAUCAUCUAGAAGGAUAAUCCUCUGGAGCUUUACCAGGAAUGCUCCUGUUUCAUCAGCAUAGGCUUCUAGCGUGUUUCUUAUGUGAUGCCACAUAGCUUUAGAUGAAAUUUCUUCUUGUAAAAACCAUGCAGUAGAUGUCAGUCAACCAUGGAUUUCGACUUUCUGUGACAUCAUGUUCACUAGGCUUUUUGCUAGCAAGAUCCAUACAGUAUGUAUGGAAUCUCACCCAAAAUCAUUUCCAGAGUAAGAUGCAUAAUUGUUACGUUAAGAAUUCAGUUAGUAACAUGAAGUGCACUGAGUCCUACUACAUUUUUCAUCCUACACCGUUUCAUUGUCUCUCUGAUCAUACGAGCCUCGCCGCAUCUCUUACCACAUGAAGCCAACAAGGCUCCCCAAAUGGGUGCAGUGGGCUUUACAGGCAUGGCUUCUAUAAACAUUAAGGCUUCUCUCAACUGUCCAGUUCGACAAAGCAUAUCAACCAGAGCAGCAUAGUUAUGCACUUCAGGCAUCAAACCAUACUCUUGGGUCAUGCAAUUAAAAUAUUCCUUCGCCUCCUCCACAAGACCAGCUUGGCUGCACGUGAUAAAGACACUCGUGAAAGUUAUAUUGUUAGGUUUCAGUCCUUGCCUCCGCAUAUUGUUAAAGAGUCUCAACGAAUCCUCACUCCGGCCAUGUUUUGCAUAGGCUGUUAUCAUGGCAGUCCAUGUCACCACAUCUCUAUUUCCAAGAUUUUCAAAUAGUUUGGCAGCUGAGUUUACAGCUCCAUACUCAGCAUACAUAUGCAGCAAUGAAGAAGAAAAAUACAAAUUAGAACGGCAAUACCCACGCUUAAGUCCGAAACCGUGUAUUUCUCUCCCCUGUUGAAGAGAUACAACAGCAGGCAUCACUUUAACUAAUAUCCCUGGAUCCAAAAUCCCAUUUCCUUGCUCUUGCACCAUCAAACGAAACAGUGCAAGCGCCAAACUAUGUUUCUUGUACCAAAUAUACCCAGUAAUCAUAGUAUUCCAACUAAUAACAUCCCUUACAUGAAUCGACAUUCCUUUAAAAACAUUCUCCGCAUAAUUCACACGCGACGAUUCCAUAUACAUAUUAAUCAAAGCAUUUUCAACAAAGGGUUUCUCCGAAACUACCUUAAUUCUCCAUUCCAGCUCGAGCAUGCGCAUUAAGUAUAAUACACAGAGUAACCAAAUCCGGCUUCUCCUUAGAUAAAAACAUCAGCUUAGUAAAAUAAAAAAGAGCUUUAUAAAUCACCCCACUUAAUAAAAUAAAAAAGAGCUUUAUAAAUCACCCCACAACGAAUACAACCAGUUAUAAUAGAAUUCCAACUAUCAAUACUUCUUUGAGGCAUUUCUUCAAACAGUUUUAUACCCUUAUCAAUAUGACCAAAUUUACAGUACAUUGAAACUAAAGAAUUGGAAAUAGAAAUAUCUGAUUGAUACCCAAGAAGUAGAACAAGAGAAUGAAUCUGUUGACCAAGUUUCAAAGAAUUGCAAGCUUUCAAAGCAAUGGGGAAUGUAUAAUUAUCAAAUUGAACUGAAUAUAAAUGCAUUUGAGAAAGUGUUUGAAGUGCUUCAAUGUGACAACCUUGAGAUAUUUGAUUUCUCAUUAGUUGAUGCCAAUGAAAUGUACUUGUAUUUGAUAUUGAUGAUCUUAUUAAAUUGCAUAGACUUUUUUGCAUUUCUUCUUGAAGAUUUUUGAAUUUUUUUUUUCUGAACUUUGGCGUCUCUCUGCUUAGUGUUUCUGCUUUGGUUCUGUUUUGUGUAUGUCUAAUGUACCUGGAACUGGAAGGCUGGAACUGGAACUAAUAAUACCAGUUUGUAUUUCAUCCGUUCCGGUUCCAAAUUUUGCAGUGUAACUAGGCCUGUAAAAAUGGUCUUUGACCCUAAACCCGGCCCGGCCCGGCCCAUUCAAUGGAAAAAGCCCUUAAAACUUGACCUUAUGAUUUUUAGGGUAGGGCCAACCCGACCCUCCCCUUUAAGGGUCGGGUUAGGGUUUAACUUUAGAAAUCUUAGACCCUAGUCCUACCUUUAGCCCGACCCUAAUUAACCCUCCCAAAGCCCUCUUAUGGCACUCAUAAAUAUAUGUACAAUUUUUUAUAUACAAGUUGUUGAACCCGUGCUACGCACCGGGAUUUGUGUUAUUCAAUAAAAUGGAAAAUCACCAAAUUUUUUUUAAUGCCUUUCUCAACCUAAAUUUGUAGAGAUUUUAUAAUGACUUUAUAAAUGAUUUGUUGAACCGAAUUUUUUUAAUGCUCUUCUUAACCUAAAUUUGUAGAGAUUUAUAAUUAAUAUUUUUUGUAUUUAGUAUGGUUUUUAUAUAUGAAUUAAAGAUUUUAAUAGAAGAAGAAUUUAGUAGGAAAAAGAGAUUUAGAAUCAAGUUCUAAAAGGUUUUAAGGUUUCUAUAAAUCUUUGUUGACCAUUGACAUAGAAGGUGGAUUUCCUUUUUAAUUACAACUGGGCUUCAAUUGAGCUUAAAGUUGGGCUUAAGUUCUAUUCUCAAGUUGUUGAGAACACGCCACGUGGCACUUGUUAGGCUCCACUAUUAUAUAGUAUAUAGAUUUCUCCAUAUAUCAAAAUUUGAACACUUUUUAGAGUUUUAAUUUUUUAGAGUUUUAAUAAUAAAGAUUUUUACAAUUAGACAUAGAUGUCACUUUUAUUUAAUUUAUAUGAUAUUUACCAAAUGUUUAUGGAAUAUUUCCCGAACUAGUUGUUAAAAUCUAUUAUACUAUAUUAAAGCAGAAAAUACCCCUAAAAAAAUAUCUCUUCAAUUAGGCUAACAAUAAGACUGAAAUUGAUAGCCUAAUUGAAGAGAAUUUUAAUUAAGUUUGGGUAUAUUUGUAAUUAGGCAAAAGUGGACCACCAUCACAGAUAUAAUUAAGCCCAAUUAGACCAUGGGAAUAAUUAAGCCCAAUAAAAAAAAAUUAAAAGAAUACCCAAUCCCAAGUAUAAUCAAGUCCAGCCCGUGCCCAGUUGGACCAAAUCACAAGCAUAAUUAAAAUACAGUAAAACUUCGAUAAAUUAAUAGCCUUGAGACUAGAGAAAAUUAUUAAUUAAACGAGAUAUUAAUUCAUCGAUUAAUUAAUAAACUAUUAAUUUACAUAAACAAUAUAUUUUCAUGUAUGUCUUUCUUUUUAGGGGGCUAACAUGAUGAAGCUGGAUAAUCAUUUUAUUCUAGAACCGGUUCCACGAAAAGAAACACUAAAAUCGAUAAUGAUAUUGGAAUAAUUUCUUCUUACAAUACAAAAUACAACACCAGAUCAACUCAUCACACUACAAAAAUUUAGAGACGAGGUUCAAACCAAAAUCAAUCUUGAGAAAAAACAAGCAAAAAUUGACUUUUGUUAUAAAGAAAAAUAUAAAAUAUAUUUGUAUAUCGAAAAAAUAUUAAUUUAUAUAUUAGUUGGGCAUUCAAGGAUUUUUCUAAAAUGUAUUAUCUAAUAAAUUUAGCGAAAUAUUAAUUUAUCAACAUAUGCCCAAGUUGGGACCAGCCAAAAAUAUUAUUUAAAGGAGAUAAUUAAUUUAUCGGGUAUUAUCUUAUCGAGGUUUUACUAUAUCUUUUCAAUUAUGCUGAAAUUGAUAAAUUAAUUGAAGAGAAAUUCAUUCAAUUUUGGGUAUUUUUGUAACUACACAAAAUAAAUAAUUACGUUUAUACAACUUCUCCAUCUUCCUCUUCACUCAAAGUCUAUGUCUGCUUAUAUGCUUAUAUUUAUAAGCAGUAAACCACAUUAUCACCACUAAAUCUAAUACCAGUAAUUGACUACCAUUGAUAAAAUGCUCUAACUCGAAUUUCUUUCAAUUCAACAAUUUUAACUUCAAUAAGUUUACCAGUAAUCUUUUUUGAAUAAGUAGCUAAAUAAUUAUCUGGUGGUCAAUUACAUUCUAGAUUUGACAAAAAGUAUAUUUUGCAAGAAUAUGGAGAACCAGUAAUCUAUUUCUUUUCCUUGCACUUAUUAGGCAUUGACAAAAAGUAAAUGAAAAUAGAAAAUAAACUCCAAUAAAGAUGAUGAUAUAAUCUUCAAUACAUUUCAAUGGUGGGGAUACGAAAAGGGACCCAAGUAGCAGUAAGACUUAUUUACUGCAAUUUCAUGAAAUUUGAGUCCCUUAAUUUGUGAUCUAAUGUACGUAAAUGUGUUGCAGAUGGGACUAUAUCAAAAAAUGUCGCAAGAUUCACACAGACAUGGAUUGUAUGGUUGCCUUCCGGAAAUGCUUAACUACAGGCCUAACGGGAUCUCUCCGUCAUAUUACAAGUAAGUCAUCUUUAUCAUCAUAAUAGUUUGUUAAAGAUUUCGAAUUUUCAUGAUGUUAACUGUUACAAGCCAAUUAAGAGACGCUCGACUGCUAAUGGACUACUGUGAAAAGAUUGUUUCCCAAAGUGAUGAAGCCUCAACAACCGAGCCAGACUAAAUUCUAAUUGAGACUUUGAGAAUUGAGAGUACUGCAAAAUCCCAUUCUCCUGGAUAUCUUCAAAUGUUUUGGGUUUAAUUUUUAUGUAUAUAUAAUAAUCGUUUAAUUUCAUUACUCAAAGAUUUAUAAUAAUUCUAAAUGAAAUCAUACCAGAUCAUAGACUUUUGAAACGGGCUAAACAAAAUAUUACAAGUUACAAACCAAAAGCAAUAUAAAACCCCCCCAAAAAAAACUUUAAAACAAUCAGAUAUGCCCGUGCAUUGCACGGGCCUAAGGACUAGUACUAUUAUAUAACUAAAGGAAAUUGAUUCUCAAUAGAAUAUUUUUUUAUUAACCGUCUAUUUCAUUAUUGAGCAUGCAAUAAAUGGUAAUUAGAUUAUUAUUUUAAAUGUGUAUUUUAAACUUAUCAUGCUAGAAUUUUAUCAAUUUAGGAUUAAAUUUCUAAAGUUUGAAAUUUUAGUAAUAAGAUAACAUCUAGCUACGAGUUCUUUGUAUUUAUUAAUUGUAAUGCUUUUGGAAAGAUAAUAUUGUAUACUAUAACAAAUUUUGUGGUGAAAAAAAUAUAUUUGUACAUUUAAGAAUUGAAACAUAUUAUACGUAUUUUUAAAAAAUUUAAAAUGAUAUUAAUAAAAACAUGAUCGCAUGUUUUUUUUUCAAGUAAAACAUAAUCCUAUGUAUCGACCCUAUCAACUGGGCCCGUUAGCCCGACCCUCAACACUUUAAAAAAAGGUCUAAGGGUCGGGUGAGGUUUUCACAAUUUUUGUGUUAGCCCGCCCCGACCCUCAUCAUCUUUUAAGGUAGGGAUGGCCCGACCCUUAAAGUGUGAGGGCUAGGGUUCGAGGUCUGGGCUAGCCCUACCUGGCCCAUUUUACAGGCCCAAGUGUAACACACUUUUAUGGUGCACUUAAAUCCCUAAGACUAUCUUUGUAACAAAAAAACUCUCGAUUUUGGCCCCAAACCCUAAUUAUCGAUUAAAAAUGGGCUAAAAUCUGGUAACUUACACCAACAAUCAGUUGUUAACAUGUUUCGAACCCACAACCUCUCCACUUUGUGAGAGGGGUGCUACCAUCGAGCCACGGGCUUAUUCGCAAAAAAAAUGUUAUGGUAAGCAUGUUUUUAAUGAGAUUAGUAACUCGGUAAUGUUUGCGGGAUUUAACCCUAGACCUCUGGUAAUCUAGUAUCAUCACCGAAAGGUUUUACUAGUUGAGCUCAGUUGACACUUGCAAAAAAAACCCAUUUUUCUAUUGGCAAAGUUGUAUUUUAUGAGAUCAGUAACUCGGUAAUAUUAGCAAGAUUGAAUUCCAAACUUUGAAUACCCGAUUAGGCAUUUGAAAAUGAAAGUUUGAUACAUUAUAGCAAAAAUAAAGUAGGACCUAAUUAUGCACAAAAAUAAUGUAUGAUUCCAAAAGGCUGUUCAAAUAUAAAGUGACAUCCAUGAAUAUUGUAUAUUCAUUGUCGGUCGAGAAAAUGAAAGGGACUUCAAUAAAUUACAAUGGGAAAAAAGUAGUACCUAAAUUAGGUAAAAAAAUAUUUAUAGGAUGAUUCCAAAAAGUGAUUCAAAAAAGGACUUGAACAAUUAUGCAUAAUUUGUACCAUUUGCAGUGCAUGAAGUGUGAUCAUGGUGUAAUACUGAUUCAUAGUUUAUGUAAGAUCAGUUGAGCUCCAUAUUGUGGUUUAAUUGUGAGAAUACUGUAAGGAGCAUGGAUAUAAGUAGAAGAAAGCUCGAAUGAAAACUGUUGCAGAAUCAUCGACAAAGCCAUCUUUGCUUCUACAAAGACGAAUGUCUGCCCAGCGCAUAUCCUUGGACCCCAACCAAAUGGGAAAUAUGAGACCUGGUUCUUUGUGGCCUCUGAAACUCCUCUAGCGAAUCUCUCUGGUUUAAAUUCCUCUGCAUCUUCACCCCAAAGUUCACGACUAUGGUGAAUCAGAAGUAUUGGAAGAGCUAGUUGUACACCUUCUGGCACAGUAACAUCACCUAAAUUAAUCUCCUUGUCAUUAGCUCGUGAAAUGAAUGGUGUUGGCGGAUAUAAUCUAAGAACCUCGUGUAGAAUCAUAGUCACCUACAAUGAAAUUUUGAUAAAAGUUUUCAGUAGUCUAUAUCAAAAUAAAUUUGCGACAGUUCAAUCACAAGCUCAGGUAAUAUGGCAGUAAAAUCACUUACAAUUUUGAGCUGGUUCAACCCAUCGAAAUCUGGUUUGCUGCUCCCAAAGACUUUCAUUACUUCUUCUCUUGCUUUCUCUUGCCAGUCUUGAUGCAUACUCAACACGAUCAUAGUCCAAACGAGCAAAGUGGAGGUUGACUCUUGUCCAGCAAAAUAGAAUAACCUACACUCAUCUAUAAUUUCGUCAAUAGUCAUUCCUACGCGCUUACUGUUCAUAUCGUCUUUCAUUUCAUUAUGAUUUGAUUCCAUUAGUACGCCUAGUAAGUCAUUCUUCGGUGCUUCUCCCAUAUUAAUAGCCAUCUCUCUCUUUUUCACAAUGUCUCUCAGCAAAUUUCGCACUUCUCUACCAAUUUUCUUCAUCCUAUUGUUCCUUUUUGUAGGAAGAAAUCUGUACAUUAAGAUGUUCAAUGUCAAGAUCUGUAAUUAUCACCAGUUGUAAACAACGUUAAUAAUGCGCUAGCUUAUGAAUGUAUACCUAAAACCAGGGAUGUUCAGCGACACUAAAUCUUGAAAAACAAGCGUUCCAAGCUCAUCUAUGAGUUGGAAUAUUCGACGGCCUUCUUCAUAAGAACUACCAAAUGCUGUUCGAGAAAUCACAUCCUUUGUUAUGUUUUGAAGAUCAGGCCACACAUCUAAUUCACAAGAACCUUCUGAAAAAUCCAAAUUCUGCCACUUGCUAAUCAAGUUGCUACAAGUAGUAUAAAAUGCUGGUGACAUCAUCUGCCAAGACCAAAUAUAGAUGAAUUUGCAUGAUAUAUUUGGGGAAAGAUUCAAUAAAAAACAUUGCUAAUUAACAUGAAUCUAUUAAAUAUUUAAAUAAGAACAGAAAACAACCUUCAACUUCUCUGGAUGGAAAGCAGGGUUAAGAAUCCUUCUGUGUUUUGCCCACUUUUUACCUUCAUAGAUUACAAGUCCAGAUACCAACAGCUUGGACAGUGGAUUUGAUCUUGGCUUGACAAAAUGACCAGAUUUGUUCAUAAAAAUUUCCUUCAACAGCUCAGGCUUCAUGAUAUUCAGCUUCAGAGUUGGUCCAUACCAAGUCGUAAACAUUCUACCUGUUUUAUCAAAUAAAAAAACAUUUUCAUCGCAUAAAUUUUUAGACUAUAAUUUUUCAUAUGAAUAAAACGAUAAAGAGUGAAUUACCAUAGCUUUCGGCAAAUUGAUCAUGGAAAGGGAGAACACGUUGAACAAUUCGAUGUGAACGUUCCAUAGGUCUAGAUUGUGCUUUCUUAGUUAGACUCACCAAUUCUUUGAGGUUACCAUGUAGAAACCUAUAACUUGGACCUUUGACACCUUUCUUCCUUAGAUACUUGUCAAGUUUUUUGGGGUUUAACCAUAUCCAACAGAAAACAUUCCAUGUCAAAAAUAUCGCCAGAACUGCAGAACUAACAGUUACUACCCAUACAACCUUCUCCAUUUUGUUUUCACUGAACAUUGAUAAGAUACCUUAUAUAAUGUAACAGAGAAUAUGUAAAGACGGCAGCCUCUUGUAUUAUAAAAAUAUUUAUCGACCGUUUGUCCGUUUGCCAUUUGUUUUAAUUCUAGAAACUUAUUAUCUAAUGAAAUGUUUCUUCUUUAGGGUGAUAAUUGCCGGACAAAAAUGAAUUUCCUUUUGUUAGUUAUCAAUCCAUUUGCAGAAGUUUGUUUAUUAAUGAAGAGUACGGCAAGCUGUUUUAAUUUGUUCAUAUACGAUCUGAUUGGAAUCUAACUAUGUGCACGUACUUCAUAUAAAAACUACUGCAAAAGACUAUUAUAGUUUUGAAUUGGCUGUAUCUUUUGUUGUAUUAAGGUCAAGAGAUACCGUUUCGUGGUCUAUUUCAGUUUCUGUCAACUGGAAUAGCAUCCAUAUAUCUCUGUAUUCGGUGAAGCAUUAUAUUAGUCCAUUUUUGGCAAGUAGGAUUAUAUUGUAGCAUCAUGGUAGUUCAAGACUUCAAGUUAUAAUAUCUCACCUACUGUAAAAUUGACAAGUCCUGAACAUGUUGCCACAUUCACAAAUCACAAUUGCUGUCUCGUAGAUGUAACCGUGGAUUGCUCAAGUCUAGGGAAGAUGUGAAUCAUUAGGUAAUGGCAGAAAGAAAUCAAUAAUAGUUCAUGGCGAUUAAAAAGCAUCGAAAAAUACCAAAAUGUUACAUCAAUUAAUAUUUUCUUUUACAGUAUCACGUACAGAAAAGCUCCUGAUGUGUGUUGCUAUCUGAUUGGUGUAUUUAUAGAGUUCGAUCAUGACAACUUUCGGUUUUCUAUUUUAGAAAAAAAAAAAAAUGCCCUUCUUCUAGCGCUGUUGGUUUUUUGCGAAUGAGCCUAUGGCUCAAUGGUAGCACCCCUCUCACAAAGUGGAGAGGUCGUGGGUUCGAAACACGUCAACAGCGGAUUGUUGAUAUAAGUUUCUACACGUAAUUUAAAAGGGGUAGGGGUCCCCACAACCUUGCUUGCCAAUCAAAAAAAAAAAAAGUUAAAAAAAUAAAUCUACUAGUUUACUUGAUCCAGGUCCUGGUUGUUUGGCUACACAUAAAAAAGUUACUUUUUUGCUGUGAAAAGUAAGAAAAUCAAAAAGUUAGUAUGGAUGCAAUUGUUUUUUUACUUUUUCGUAGCAAAACUUUUGCUGCCAGAAAAAGCUCAAAAUUUUAGCUUUUUUACUUUCAAAAAGUAAAAUUCACAACAACAUAAAAAUGAAAUGUUAGUAUUUUUCCCCUAAUUUGAUCAUGUUUGGGAUAUCCUAGUUGUUGUAGAAAUCUACCCAUAGGAUUGAAUUUUGUGAUGGAUGAAAUCUAAUUCAAACAUCUUGAAUGUUAAAGUUCUAUCUUCAUUGUUGCGCCCUUCUCUUAAUACCACUACACCUGUGUAUGUAUAUACAUAUCGAGCUACAUCGACUUAAAGCUAAUUUUCAUCGAGCUCACCCGAGCUCAAGCCUAUUUCCAACGACAAUUUUUUACUUAUUUUUUAUGUAUUUUCGUCAAUUUCUCUUCAAUUUUACUUUUUGUUGCCAAGGAUACAUUCCUUUUAUUCUCCAUACUUCGAAUUGGCUUCAUGUACACUAAGGGAUACAUUCCUUUAUAAUUCAUAUUGGAUAGUCAUAAUUAUAUAAUACUAGUGCCUUAACCGGUGCAUAAUUUUAAUUUAUCCAUCUCUGAUUAGCAUUCGAGUUUUAAGUUAUUAAUUUUAUUAAAUAUUACAAAUUAUACUAAUUUAUUAAAUCGUAUGAAAUAAUUAUUUCUUAAGUAAAUUCAUUAUUCUCAUUGUAUUUUGUUAAUUACAAUAAAACCAUUAAUUUUAAAGUAAAUAAAAAUUAUUUAAUUAAAGUAAAUAAAAAUUAUUUUUUUAUUGGAUAUUUUGCUUAUAAAUAAAAAUUUAGCCCAUAAAUAAAAAUAUGUUAAAUUACAAUAAAACCAUUAUUUAAAGGGUAUUACGUAAAUUUACCAAAACAUCAUGACUAAAAGGGUGUUAAAUUAUAAUAAAACCAUUACACUUAGAGAGUAUUAUGUAAAUUUACCAAAAAACCAUGACUAAAAGGGUAUUUUAGUCAGAAUUAGGUAACAAAAUACUAAAGAUCAAUUCUCAUUAACCGGGACUUACCCCUGGAUUUUAUUCAGGUUUAUAAUAGUAGUCUAGAUUUUUCUUAAGCAUAUUAUUGUUUUUCUACAUGUUUAAGAGAACGAGGCUCAUGCAUAAGGCUUGGUGGAAAUUUUAGAAUUAUUUAUCACACUAAUAGUGCAACCUAAGAAAAAUUCUCCUGGUCGACAAUAUAUAAUUCUACGAAGGUGAUGUACCAUAAGCUGUUUUGCAUGACACUAAUUCUACAGUAGUUAUAUAUGGACCAAUGGGCAAAUAGUCUAAUUUUAACCAAUGAAAUAUUUUGAUCAUUUGAGCACCAUGUAAUUGUUGUUAUUUCUUACAUUUUAAUGUCAUACUUGAUAUAUUAUAGAGAUUUGACCUUUACCCCCUCCAUUUGAAAGUCGAAAUUUGAGUUACCCCCAUUUGAAAAAAUAUAGACGAUGUUACAAAAAUCAAUUUUCUUUAUUUAGUAAAUAAAAUAUUUUAUAAUGCCAAAACUACCCCUUCUUGAAUCUGAUGCUAAUUAGUACCCCCACUGAAACAUACAUAAUUAGUAAUACUCCCCGAAAUCAAUUUGUUGGGAAAUUUUUGAAUGGGAUUAAAGCUCCCAUAAUGUUCACAUCAAUCUUGUGUAAAAUUGCAUAAACAUAUUUUUCAGAUUUGAAUGGAUGCCAAUAAGGAUCUAUAUUGGACAGGUUGGGAAGUUGUAGAUCUAAUGGUUUGACAAUAUUCAAAAGGCUCACUAAUUUAGUGAUUGAGAACAUUCAAAAGUUUUGAAGAUAUUGCUUGCAUAUUCAAGUAAUGGAGUCAUCUUAUUUGUAGGGAUACUAAAUACAACAAUCAAUCAAAACACGACAUAUGUCAUGUCCCAACAGUUCACUAGGUCGUCCACGAUACGACCUAACCUACUCCGACCAGAAUAACUUAAGUAUAUAACUGUUGGUGACCUCAAUGCAGACACGUGCCCUUAAUAAAUGCCUAGAGAAUAUCUUGGUUUGUUACGUACACAUGCAUUUAUUGCCAGGUAUCACGCAAUAAUAGAUGUCGGAGAAUCUGCAGGAUCCCAUGAUCUGUCCCCUCUCACCUUGUAUAAGAACAAAACUACGAUGACUUGAUCUCUAAGUUCCACUCCAUCGAGGUAGAGUACGUAGGCAAUCUCGACUUCAUCGAGGUACAACCAAAUUGAGUUGCAGGUGGAACUAAAUUGAGUUGCAAAAGAAGAUGUUGAAGAUGGGGGAAGAAGAGGGGGGGGGGGGGGUAUUGCCAAUGGUUUGGUAUAAUUUUUUUGCCAUCCUCCUUUAAUUCGAGGGGAGCGGGGGGGGUAACUGCUAUAUUUUUUCAAACGGGAGGGGGUGACUCAAAUUUAGACUUUCAAAUGGGGUUAAAUGCCAAAAUCUCUAUAUUAUAUUUUCAUUUUCAUGGUCCAUAGAACUUCCAUGUUGCAUCGAUGUUGCCGAUGAUAUUUGUUAGUGCACAUUUAGUUUUGCAUUUAGUAUCAAGCCACCAACCUGGAUUCCUGAAUUUGUCGCCAACACAAUAAAUCCAACAACUAUCAUAACAAGGAGGAUAAGCAGCUACAUAUCGAGAUUGAACUUGAAAAAUAAUAAUGAACAAUAGCGCAAAGAAAUUUAUAUAUCUAUUUUCCAUGUUUAUGUUUAUUUUUUUGUUAUUCUAUGUUGAUAUUUGGACGAGUGUAAAAGAAAGUAUAUGACUAAGUUAAAGACGAUAAUAGAUUUAUAUGACUAAGUUAAAAGAUGAUAAUAGAUGUCAAUUAAAAGUUUUGAAUUAUAAUCAGUUUCAUUAUUAUUAAUUAUUUUAUUUAAAUAAAAAUAAAUAUCAGUUAAAGUGGUGACAUAAGCAAUUGUAAAAUGGUAUAUAUAUAGCUUUUACUCCCUCUAAAUAAUGUCUAUUUAGUUUAUGAUAUCGAUUGUUUUGUUUAUUCGGUUUAAGUACCACUUCUAUAUCAGUUAAAAAAAAAAAUUGUUGUGUCCAUUUAAGUAUUCUAUGCGAUAAAUCUAGAAUGUUGUUGUUAAUUAAUGUUGUAAAAAAAUAAAUUUGUUGUGUCAAUUUAAGUAUUCUAUUUAGUUUAUGAUAUCGAAUGUUUGGACGUAUUAGUAGGGGUGCAAUUCGAGCCAAAUGAGCCGAGCUAGGGUAUGCUCGAACUCGGCUCGCUACUAACCGAGCCGAGCUCAAAAUGAAGACCGAGCUGAACUAUGAGCUCGAGCUCAGCUCACGAGCCAACUAUAAAACUCGAGCUCGUCAGCUCGCUCGGCUCGGUUUGGCUCAUUUCGGCUCAUUUCAGCUCGUUUCCUGGUUUCGGCUCAGCUCGUUAGCUUAAUAUUUCGGUUUUUUAUGUCUGUAUUUAUAUAAAGGGUAAUAUAAUAAUAAUUUCACGAGCUGCUCGGCUCGGCUGGUUUAGAGCUCGGGCUCGUGACGAGCUGAAAAACCUGCUCGAACUCGGCUCAUUUAGGUAAACGAGCGAGCCGAGCCGAGCUCUUAUCGAGCCGAGCCCGAGCCGCUCGGCUCAAAUUGCAGCCCUACGUAUUAGCGCUAACUACCACUUCUAUAUCGGUUAAUUAAUGUUGUUUGAUUCGGUUAAGUAAUUAUAUAUAUAUUUUUUCUAAAAAAAAUUAACUUAAAUAAAACUAAUCACAGUUGGAAUGGUUGGCUGUGAUGGAAUCUUUCCAAGUUUUUUAAACGACGGAAAUUUUUAUUUGUUUGGGUUUAAUAAAAGUACACAACUAAAAUAUGGAUUGUUUUUUAUAUGGAAUUAAAAUAAAGGGUUAGAACAUAAUUUUUAUAAUGGAAAUUAUAUUAAACUAAGGGUUAAAAAAUGAAUUCCAUUAUAAUUUUUUUUUUUAUUUUCUAGCUUCUUAAAUAUAGGCACUUACCACAAAAAGUGAAGAAAAAACAAGGAAAACUAAGAGGAACAAAAAAGACUAAAAACCAUCGUAAAUCUAUAUCUUAAAUGCAAUUUAUUUAGUAAUUAUAAUAGAAAAAAAGAUUUAUUUAUUUAUUGUUGAUUUCAUUGAUUAGUAAUAUUUCUUUGUUGUUGGUGUGUGAAAGGACUUGCAGCCUAGUUUUAUAACACGUUUGUCCUCUACUUUUGUGUAGAUUUUUUUUUUUAAUAAAAAACUAUUUUAUUGAUAAGCUCAAAGAAUUACUCAAAAGUAUAUAGGACAAGCGCGCUACAAACUGCGCUGCAAGCCCUUUUUAAAUACGCCAAAUGUCAGGUGCUCGCCACACCACGCGUCUUGCGCAUAAGGCACAAAAAUGGUAUUGCGCCCAGGUGCGACUACCUUGGAUAUAACCAUCUUCCUAGUAUAAAGUUUAGUAAAGAAGUAAUUGAAAUUCCACAUCCAAGAUGUAACAGAACCUUUUUCAGGAAAUCUGAUAACCUAUGAAGACUGUACUAAUCAGUUCACGUCUUAAGCUUGUCUUAUGGCCAAUAUAAAGAAACAAUAACGGAGUGGGGAUUCUUCAUCCUUAAUCUCGAAAACUUUUGCUUCUCUGUGAAAGCAGGUGGUGGUAUGAGUGGCAGGCAACUUUUAAACGUGAUUACUUCAACAAUCCGUGGAGGACAAUUCUUUCGUUUAUUAGUGCUAUUCUCAUUAUCGUCUUUACCAUGACAGUAUGACACAAACUAUUUUUUCCAUUGUCGUCAUAUAUAUACGAAAGUUUUAUCCUUGGCGCUAUAAUCAUCGAUGCCAAUGUUUUGGCAGAUUAUACAUUAAGGUGAAUGAAAUUGAGUGCUUUGGUACUUUGGUAGCACAGACAGUUCAAAGGAUAAUGGCCAAGAUGAAAACUUUCUCUUCAACAAAAUCUGCCAACAGAAUAAUCUCAAAAGCUUUUUUUUUCUCUACACUUUCAUCCUUUGCUCUGUAAUAGCCUUGGCAGAUCCUACAUAAGGUGAAUGAAAUUGAUUGCUUUCGAAGCACAGACAGUUCAAAGGGUAGCACUAUAGGGUUGUAGGUAACUUGGUAUAUUGCUAGUGUAAGAAUAUCUGUUAUGUUGAAUUGUUGAUGCUCUAAAAGCUUUCUCUGUUCUUCAAGAUUAUAUAAAAGUUCUUUAAAAUAAACAAUCUAUCUAUCUAUCUAUCUAUCUAUCUAUCUAUCUAUCUCUAACAAUAUUUGAAGUCGAUUUUUUCUGCACCCAACAAACAAAAAUACAAAAAUUAAAUAUUCUUGCAAAAUUCAUAAAGAGCAAUCUCAUUUGGCAAACUUAGUAACCAUAAAUUAAACAUGGUUUGAGAAUGAUCACCUAAAAAAAUCAUUAAACUAUUAUGUUUGAUAUCCUCCAAUAUCCAUUGACUUUAAAAUAUUUGCUUCUAUGUUCGACUAAAUUAUUGAUUUAUUGAGCAAAAUCUAUUGCUAAAUUUGGGCAAAAGGACCAAAAAUUUACUUGGUAUCAUUCUAUGAACAACAUAAGAAGUAAACCAAAUAGAUUUGAACGCUAAAUUUAUAGAUCAAACAUGAAAGGAAAAAUAUAAAACACACAAAAAGUGUGAAAAGUAAUAAACCCGACAACCACACACCCCAUUAUGUGAAAUCAUCGUAUUAAUGUUUACAAAUCCGCCGAGGAAAAAAAGCAAUGAAAAGAUGUUCAUCAAACCCUCGUGUGUUUAACAUUGUACCAACCCUUUUUACAAGAGCCAUUUAUUCAAUACAUUUUAACUCAGUACAUUACGGUGCAAGCAGCAUUUUCGUCCACACAAUGUGACUANNNNNNNNNNNNNNNNNNNNNNNNNNNNNNNNNNNNNNNNNNNNNNNNNNNNNNNNNNNNNNNNNNNNNNNNNNNNNNNNNNNNNNNNNNNNNNNNNNNNNNNNNNNNNNNNNNNNNNNNNNNNNNNNNNNNNNNNNNNNNNNNNNNNNNNNNNNNNNNNNNNNNNNNNNNNNNNNNNNNNNNNNNNNNNNNNNNNNNNNNNNNNNNNNNNNNNNNNNNNNNNNNNNNNNNNNNNNNNNNNNNNNNNNNNNNNNNNNNNNNNNNNNNNNNNNNNNNNNNNNNNNNNNNNNNNNNNNNNNNNNNNNNNNNNNNNNNNNNNNNNNNNNNNNNNNNNNNNNNNNNNNNNNNNNNNNNNNNNNNNNNNNNNNNNNNNNNNNNNNNNNNNNNNNNNNNNNNNNNNNNNNNNNNNNNNNNNNNNNNNNNNNNNNNNNNNNNNNNNNNNNNNNNNNNNNNNNNNNNNNNNNNNNNNNNNNNNNNNNNNNNNNNNNNNNNNNNNNNNNNNNNNNNNNNNNNNNNNNNNNNNNNNNNNNNNNNNNNNNNNNNNNNNNNNNNNNNNNNNNNNNNNNNNNNNNNNNNNNNNNNNNNNNNNNNNNNNNNNNNNNNNNNNNNNNNNNNNNNNNNNNNNNNNNNNNNNNNNNNNNNNNNNNNNNNNNNNNNNNNNNNNNNNNNNNNNNNNNNNNNNNNNNNNNNNNNNNNNNNNNNNNNNNNNNNNNNNNNNNNNNNNNNNNNNNNNNNNNNNNNNNNNNNNNNNNNNNNNNNNNNNNNNNNNNNNNNNNNNNNNNNNNNNNNNNNNNNNNNNNNNNNNNNNNNNNNNNNNNNNNNNNNNNNNNNNNNNNNNNNNNNNNNNNNNNNNNNNNNNNNNNNNNNNNNNNNNNNNNNNNNNNNNNNNNNNNNNNNNNNNNNNNNNNNNNNNNNNNNNNNNNNNNNNNNNNNNNNNNNNNNNNNNNNNNNNNNNNNNNNNNNNNNNNNNNNNNNNNNNNNNNNNNNNNNNNNNNNNNNNNNNNNNNNNNNNNNNNNNNNNNNNNNNNNNNNNNNNNNNNNNNNNNNNNNNNNNNNNNNNNNNNNNNNNNNNNNNNNNNNNNNNNNNNNNNNNNNNNNNNNNNNNNNNNNNNNNNNNNNNNNNNNNNNNNNNNNNNNNNNNNNNNNNNNNNNNNNNNNNNNNNNNNNNNNNNNNNNNNNNNNNNNNNNNNNNNNNNNNNNNNNNNNNNNNNNNNNNNNNNNNNNNNNNNNNNNNNNNNNNNNNNNNNNNNNNNNNNNNNNNNNNNNNNNNNNNNNNNNNNNNNNNNNNNNNNNNNNNNNNNNNNNNNNNNNNNNNNNNNNNNNNNNNNNNNNNNNNNNNNNNNNNNNNNNNNNNNNNNNNNNNNNNNNNNNNNNNNNNNNNNNNNNNNNNNNNNNNNNNNNNNNNNNNNNNNNNNNNNNNNNNNNNNNNNNNNNNNNNNNNNNNNNNNNNNNNNNNNNNNNNNNNNNNNNNNNNNNNNNNNNNNNNNNNNNNNNNNNNNNNNNNNNNNNNNNNNNNNNNNNNNNNNNNNNNNNNNNNNNNNNNNNNNNNNNNNNNNNNNNNNNNNNNNNNNNNNNNNNNNNNNNNNNNNNNNNNNNNNNNNNNNNNNNNNNNNNNNNNNNNNNNNNNNNNNNNNNNNNNNNNNNNNNNNNNNNNNNNNNNNNNNNNNNNNNNNNNNNNNNNNNNNNNNNNNNNNNNNNNNNNNNNNNNNNNNNNNNNNNNNNNNNNNNNNNNNNNNNNNNNNNNNNNNNNNNNNNNNNNNNNNNNNNNNNNNNNNNNNNNNNNNNNNNNNNNNNNNNNNNNNNNNNNNNNNNNNNNNNNNNNNNNNNNNNNNNNNNNNNNNNNNNNNNNNNNNNNNNNNNNNNNNNNNNNNNNNNNNNNNNNNNNNNNNNNNNNNNNNNNNNNNNNNNNNNNNNNNNNNNNNNNNNNNNNNNNNNNNNNNNNNNNNNNNNNNNNNNNNNNNNNNNNNNNNNNNNNNNNNNNNNNNNNNNNNNNNNNNNNNNNNNNNNNNNNNNNNNNNNNNNNNNNNNNNNNNNNNNNNNNNNNNNNNNNNNNNNNNNNNNAAAAAAUUCGAGGCAUUUCCCGGACGCACAAGAAUCGCUCCUUUAGAAUUUGUUCCCAUUUGAGACCAAAUUCCCUUAUGGGCUGGUUUUUAGACUUGCACAUUUAACCUUAGCACCAAGAGUACGAUUUCUUUUAGCGUUCUUCUCUUCUCUUCUUCUAAUGCCACUUCUCCUUCCUUCGUCAAACCGACGAUCUACUUCUUCUUCAACACUUCGUCUUGGUUUCCAAAGGUUAGUCUCCAUCGAUUUUUGUAAUAAUUUUAUGGAAAUUGGCGAUGCAGAUUUGAAAGAGAUCAGUUAUUUUAACCAUUUUGUAUGCUUGUGAUUUUGUAAUUCUAUGGAAAUUGAUGCAGAUUCUAUAGAGAUGAAGAGGUGCUUGAUUAAUGAUUUGGUUUGGUGAUCACUUAUCGAGUUUGCGAGACUAGGAAGCUUUUCCAAAUAUAUAUUAUGUUUGAAGAAAUGCUAAAGAGAGGUAUUCAUUUAUUCUAGAUUGAUUUAUUGAAGUUUGCUACAUCACUGAACAUAUAUAUCACAAUCUUUAACAUUAUUUGAACCCAUAAAGAUCUGAUUUGGGCAUUCUCUCUCUUCACCAGAAUCGAGCUUUAGAAUUUUUUUUUCACAUAUCCUGACGAAAAAUACCCUUUUGAGCAUGGUUUUUCAGUAAUUUCGCAUUUAAUUACUAAUUUAUAUUUGAACCCCCUGGACAAAACAAUAUCUCUCUUUUCAUCAUUUUUCAUCGUAACCUUCUUAAUUCAUCACCUCAAUUUUGACACUCCUCCACUGCACAGGACACAGGUUAGUAGUGCUAUCUUCUUAAUGUUUGUAAUCCAACUUAUUUUUUUCUGCAACUCAUUUUGAAAAUUCUCAAACGUAUAGGAGUAGUUAUGAUAUUCAAAUAGUAUUCUUUGUUUGAAUGGUCUAAUUUUAGAUUUGCCUGAUAUUCAAAUAGUAUUCUUUGUUUGAAUAGUCUGAUCGACAUACUCUGCUGGCAGUAUAUUAAACGUCAAAAAAAUUCGAGGGCAUUUCCCGGACGCACAGAAUUGCUCCUUCAGAAUUUGUUCCCAUUUUGAGACCAAAAUACCCUUAUGGGCCUGGUUUUUUAGACUUUGCACAUUUAAACCCUUCUCUUAAAAUGAAAACACUUUAAUAAACCUUAGCACCAAGAGUACGAUUUCUUUUUAGCGUUUCUUCUUCUUCUUCUUCUUCUUAAUUGCCACUUCUCCUUCCUUCGUCAAACCGACGAUCUACUUCUUCUUCAACCACUUCGUCUUGGUUUCCAAAGGUUAGUCUCCCAUCGAUUUUUGUAAUAAUUUUAUGGAAAUUGGCGAUGCAGAUUUGAAAGAGAUCAGUUAUUUUAACCAUUUUGUAUGCUUGUGAUUUUGUAAUUCUAUGGAAAUUGAUGCAUAUUCUAUAGAGAUGAAGAGGUGCUUGAUUAAUGAUUUGGUUUGGUGAUCACUUAUCGAGUUUGCGAGACUAGGAAGCUUUUCCAAAUAUAUAUUAUGUUUGAAGAAAUGCUAAAGAGAGGUAUUCAUUUAUUCUAGAUUGAUUUAUUGAAGUUUGCUACAUCACUGAACAUAUAUGGUUUCUUUUCAUUGUCAUAGAUGCGUUCAUAAAAAUAUAUAUAUAUUAUGUUUGAAGAAAUGCUAAAGAGAGGUAUUCAUUUAUUCUAGAUUGAUUUAUUGAAGUUUGCUACAUCACUGAACAUUAUAUAUCACAAUCUUUAACAUUAUUUGAACCCAUAAAGAUCUGAUUUGGGCAUUCUCUCUCUUCACCAGAAUCGAGCUUUAGAAUUUUUUUUUCACAUAUCCUGACGAAAAAUACCCUUUUGAGCAUGGUUUUUCAGUAAUUUCGCAUUUAAUUACUAAUUUAUAUUUGAACCCCCUGGACAAAACAAUAUCUCUCUUUUCAUCAUUUUUCAUCGUAACCUUCUUAAUUCAUCACCUCAAUUUUGACACUCCUCCAUGCACAGGACACAGGUUAGUAGUGCUAUCUUCUUAAUGUUUGUAAUCCAACUUAUUUUUUUCUGCAACUCAUUUUGAAAAUUCUCAAACGUAUAGGAGUAGUUAUGAUAUUCAAAUAGUAUUCUUUGUUUGAAUGGUCUAAUUUUAGAUUUGCCUGAUAUUCAAAUAGUAUUCUUUGUUUGAAUAGUCUGAUCGACAUACUCUGCUGGCAGUAUUUUUUACCUUUUCAAACGUCUAUUAUUUUGAUUGGUAGGGCUUCUCUGUUUCGGCUAGCAAGAAACUCAUUCAGAAUGACAUAAUGGUUAAGGAAACGAGAGAAGCUCGACAAUUGUUUGACAUAAUGCCUGAACAGGUGUAAGUUGUCUUCUCUCUUUUAGGAGUUUUGAAAUCCUGAGCAUUUAGAUUUGUUCUAACCUCUUCUGAAGUUGUGAAUUCUGCAAUGAAUGUUUCUUAGGGUAGUGAGUGUUAAGGAAAAGGUCUCCAUAUCCUUGAGCUUGCUUCGAGAUUCAAAAAAGCUCAAAUCAGAUCUAUAUAUCGUACUCACACUUGCAGCAUGUGCAUUUUUUCUAUCGAAUCUCGAAGCAAGCUCAAGGAUGAGAUGCAGAAACGUGGACAACACGAGGAGUUGGGAUUGCAUAACCCAAGUUCAAUAUGAGUGUAUGGUAUUGACUUCAUGGCACAUUAAUAUUAGUUCUCCAUCCAGGCAACUGUGGUCGGCGCAUGUAUCGUUCAAGACCGCGAAUAAAUUCAGUGGCUAAGGGGACAUUUCUCCCAUGGUUGGUAGUUUCUUGAAUUUCUCGGACUGAUAAAGGGACAUCUUUUGCUUCCUUCUUAUGUUCUUCUCUUUCUUCUGUCCACUACUUCACACUUCUUCGUUUUCGUUUCGAAAGGUUAGUCUCAAUAGUUUCUAAUUCUACAAAAAUUGAUUCAAAUUUGAUCUGUUCAUACUCUUUUAGGUCAGUUAUUUACACUAUUUUGAAGCAUAUUCUAUGGAGAUGAAGAGGUGCUUGAUUGAUGAAUUGGGUUGGUGAUCAUUUCGUGCGAAAACAGGAAAGUUUUCCCAAGCAUAUAUUAUAUUUUAAGAAAUGCUCCAGAGAGGUAUUCAUUUAUUAAUUUGGUGUUUCCAGGAUGAAAUUGAUUUAUUGAAGUGUUUCCAGGAUGAGAUUGAUUUAUUGAAGUUUUCUCCGUCACUGAAUAUAUGGUUUCUGUUGAUUGUCAUACAUGUGUUCAUGAGAAAAUAAGAUUUUGAAAUACAUGCAUUGAGAUCGUCAAGAGUGCGAUAUAUAAGCAUUAUGUCAUCCUUAAAAUUCCAAGUGUAUUUUUAUUUCAUGAUCAGUUUGAAUUUUGUUCAAUAGAAAUGUACAGCUGCAUAUAGAACAAACCCUUGAAUGAUAGAGAACAUUUAUAAUACUGUUUCCCCUAGCGACCCUUUACUUUCCUCACACAUACAGCAAAGGUAUUUGUUACACCAUUGGGCAUAUAUGGAUUUUUUAUUUGUCUUAGAAUGUAUAGCUACAUUGCUCUCCAGUUUUAUUCCUCGACAAAAGCCUUGGCAGAUUAUAUUCUUUCAAAAUAGAUAAUCGAACUUAGAUCUAAUAUGGUUAUCUAACUUAAUGAUACUAAUUGUUGUGUAUUGGUGUAGAUAUAACAUCUCGACAAAAGAUGGAGAUUACUAAGAAUCUUGGGAAUCCAUAAAUGGUUGACACUCAAGUAAGCCUAAACAAAUAUCAAUUUCUCUUAGCUUAUCACUAUGUGCUAAUGAUUUCGUUUGAAAUGGUUGCAAUUCAAGAUAAACUAUAAAAUUCUUAGAUUGGUUUGCUUAUAGUUGCAUUUACCAUAGUUUAAAAUACCGAAUCCGGGCGAAAUUUCGGAUUCAGAAAAACGGUAUAUUCCGACAUUCCGACCCUCGAAACAAAUAUGUCACUUGAAAUGUCAGGAAUAUUCUCGGUUAUUCCCGAAAUUUAAAAUGCUGAUUCUCUAAAAACCGGCAUAUUCUGCCGAAAUUUCGGGAAAUAUGUCGGCAUUUUUAACCAUGACAUAUACUACAUUAAUGUAAUUCUACUAUUACUGAAAAUCUCGCAUGUUGGUUGAAAUUCAAACUAUCUUCAAGAAAUUAGAUGCAGAUCCAACACCUGAUUUAUUUGUGAGGUAUCAAGUAUGAAUGCAUUACUGAUUCCUCUAUGAUAUAUCCAGACUCUAGACAAUAUUGCCUUUUAAACUCUACAAUUGAAUGCAAAAGAAUUUUCGUAUUGAGCCCUUUUUUUUCAUCAUAUAUGAUUGAUUAUAUGUUUGAGAUGGUGAUGAAAUACUUCACGAUUUAGAAAAUUGGAUGCAUGUUAUAGAUCUGAUGGUAAGUAACUUUUGGUUUUCAAGCUCAACAUAGACCUUUUCCUCUUCCGCAAAAUCUUCUCCCAUUCCUUCCAUCACUUACCCUUUCUUCUGCACACAUCAAUCUUUUCCCUUUUCUUAUUUCAAUCAGUUGUCUUUUUUCUAAAUCUAUUCAAAUUUUUCUUCUUCUCAAUAUUUUAAACAAUCUAAACCAGAUUAAUCUCAGCUUUCAAAAAACAGGUAACACUUUGUUGAAAAACCUAUGUUGUUAUUCAUGUUUUCAUUUCGAUCGUUUUGAGUCACAGGAUGGAUUUUAAUUUAAAUGACAACAUUGUAUGUUUACAAUUGAGUGGAAAGCCAUUGGAAUCUGUUAAUCUUUACUGCACUGUUAUGCGUAUACGCCAUGCAGGCUCUAUGUGUGUCUGCAAUUACAAUGGUGUUCUAUAUAUGUAAUUUGACUGAUGAUCCUUUUACAUCAUGUCCUUUUCUGUUGAACUGACAGUUUCAAAUUAAUAGUUAUACAUGUGUGAACUGUCUGUAUAAGAUCUUCUUGAUGUUCUUACUUUAGACAUUAUUUUGUUUAAUGUGGAAUUAAAGAAUUGAACUCAUAACCUGUUAUGUAUUUUCUGUACAGAUUUGAGGAAUUUUUGUUCUUGGAUGGACUAAUUUCCGAUUCAUUUUUUUGUUUGAUGGAUUAAAUCAUCAAGUCACCCACAUAUAUAGGUCCAUUCUUGAUUCUUUAAGCUUUGGAUCAAGAAAGUCGGCCAGUCGCUAGGCAUGUUUUUUGAUGAAGUAUCUUCAUUCUGCUUUUCAUACUAUAAGUUUUUAAAAUAAGUUCGGUUAACUCAAAUUUUUUUUCGAUAGCAAAGAAUUGUCAAUAGAGAUCUAAAUAAACUCGGUCUCUCAGCUUAAAACUUGAUUUUGUGAAGGAAGUUGAAUAUUGCCCCAUGUUCAUGUCCUUCAUUAAUUUAAGGUAAAAUUUUGGAUACCCGACAUAAAGUUAUAUAUUUCUUUGCUUGCAUAUUAUGAAUUUCAUUGAAUAGAAAAGUAGGUGUUGAAUUGACAUCAGAGAAAAAAUGGAUCAUUCUUAUAUUUUGUUGUUUGAUUUCUUGAGUCAGACAACCUACCACUUAAUAGUUUUGGGUUGCUUUAUUUCAUUUACCACCGUAUUUCAUUUCAACCUAGAUCUUUAUCCACAUCUCAUUCUGUUAAACCUACAUCUUUUGGUUGUCAAUUCUGAUAAUUAAAGAUUAAUGCAUGUUUAACAUAUUUAUGUCCAAUAAGCAACAAUGCAACAUGGCAUUGAUGCAGGUAGUUACUACACUAUAUUCUUAUUGUUAUUCAAAAGAAGAAAGUUUGAGUCCACACUUCACACAUUUUUAUUUAUGCAAGAGGAGUUUUGUUUGUUAACAAUGAGAGCAAGUAUACCAUAGAUAUUUUUAUAGUUCUACUUCGGUAUUAUUUUCUUACUGUAGGAUUUAUAGACUGAAAAGUUCAUGUAUAGAUUGAGAACGAGCCACUUCGAAUGGUCCAGAUUUCAGAUUUGAUAGUAGGGAUAAAAAUUGAUUAUUAAUAAUUGUUCUUUCCCUUCUUGUGCAGAUUUGAGUGAACGGUUGUACGGUAUGGUUUGAUCUCACUACCUCCGAAAACUUGCUACCACAUUCCACAAGGAAAGGUUAGUAUUUACUAUUAGAUAGCUUUGUUUUUCUUUUUCAUUUUAUCUUUUAUCCAUUUUGAAUUCCUCUCCAAAAACAUACUACAACUUCUUCUCUUCCCCCACAACCUCUUCUUCUUAGUUUGCACGAUAUUGUUUUCGUAAAUUUUGCACAGGUUAGCAUACUAAUAUGGUGUUUUUGUAUUUUUCUAAAUGAUCCAUGACAUGAAUUCGUAACAACGAUUGUAAGAAAACAUAAUUUUACUAAAUGAUCCAUGACAUGAAUUCGUAACAACGAUUGUAAACAUAGUUUUAGUCUUAUAACAACUCUACGACAUCCAAGAAUCCUAUUACUGUGAGGGUAUGCUAGCGAUGGAUAUGUCACAGAGAAAAUUUAGUGUCAUUAGGUUUAUUGGUCUUCAAUGUGAACUGUAGGCUGGCCAAGGGAAAUUGAUUGUUUUAAUGUAUACAUAGAAAAACAAAUAUUUUGCACUGAAAAGAAGAAUUGCAUCAUGCAUUUCAACAUAUAGUUCAAAAGAUGUUGUAAAUCUUCUAGAAAUACAUUUUGCUCUCUUUUUAAUUAUAGUUUUCUUUCAUUGCAGGCCCCUCCAUCAAGUUGCCUUCAAGUAAGGGUUUUCCUAGGUGAUUUAUUUCCUUUUUCAAUGGAUGAUCCAACAUAUUUGUUAAAGCUAGCGUGGGAAGCAGGAAAACAACUUAUCAUUUAAGAAGUGGAAGUUGUACCACCACGGAAUAUGAAGGUGCGUUUAUAAAUCUUAAAUUGAUUAUAGAUUUUCUCCAUCUAUUUGGUGUAGUAUUAGUUAUGUAUUUUAAUAGUCGAGAAUCUGUGCUUUUGUAUACAAUUUGUAUUGUCAUUUUAAGCAUAGGUGAAAAUUUCGAAUAAACUCGAAUAUCCGACCCUUGAAAAAUCGGUAUAUUCUGCGAAUAUCCGGACCCCAAUGUCGGAAUUGGAAGGUUUGGCAAAAUGGUUUUCGCGAAAUAUUGCUCGAAUAUUCGCGGAUAUUCACGAAAAAUUCGAAUAAUUGUAUUAAAUAAAUGUGGGAAUUAUAUUUAAAAAUAAAUGUGUUAAUUUCAAAUUCGAAAAUUUUGUAAUUUUCGUACUUUUCGAAUAUUUCGCAAAUAUUCGUAAAAAUCCGGUCGGCAUGGGGAGGUUUAUGUUUUGUUUAUUAUUCGUAUGCCGUACCGCUCCGAAUUCCCAAAAAUCGGCAAAAUUGGUGAAUAUCCGCCCGAUAUUUUCGAUUUUUUCACCUAUGAUUUUAAGAACAUUUUUUUUAACGAUAAGAACAUUGCAUUCUCAAAUAUUUCGUUGCUAGCACUAUGCAUCACUUUUCUCAAUAUACACAAUAUUUUGUUUUUCUUUUGUUUUAUAGGAGUAGAUCUACAAAUUAGAUACACUGCAUGAUUCUUAAUGACUGACAUUUACACCUCUUUGGCAUUAGACAAUUGUCUUAUUACAGGGUAUAGUCGAUUUUUUCACCUAUGAUUUCAAGAACAUUUUUUUUAACGAUAAGAACAUUGCAUUCUCAAAUAUUUCGUUGCUAGCACUAUGCAUCACUUUUCUCAAUAUACACAAUAUUUUGUUUUUCGUUUGUUUUAUAGGAGUAUAAAAGAUUUUGGGAAGUAGGUUGAUGGUAGAAAUCUAAAAAACUAAAAUUAUUGCGUUAUCAAAGAGUGUUUUUGUUAGGAUAAAUCAGGGUUUUUUCCUUCCAAAAUUCUUCUUUAAAUCACGCCUUAGAUGUUUUAUGAAUCACCUGUUUGUGAAAAUGGAUACUCCCUCCAUCCCAAUUUGAUAGUCCUAUAUUCCAUUUUAAGUUGUCCUAAAAUGAUGGGAACUUUCUAUAUUCGUAUGCGUAUUAAUUAGGCUAAUUUGAAUUUUUUACUUGAUUACCCAUUCUUGAAAAGAGUGCAAAUAGAAAAUGAUGUUAGUAGUAUUUUAUUUGUAAGUCAUCAAAUAAGGGUAAAGUUGGAAAUAUAGUUAAUUAUAUCUAUAAUAAAUGACGUGCCCUUAAAAAGUUGGGUUUUCUAUAAAGGACUAUCAAAUUGGGACAGAGGGAGUAUAUUUUUGUGUCCCAAAAUUACUUGCAUAUUUGCUUUUGAAACGUCAAUUCAAGAAAUUGAUCCAAUAAAUAGUAUUAGAUGUAUAUAUAAAUGUUCUUAGGCUUCCCACUUCAUCUCAUUAAAUGGGAUACCAUUUGUUGUUCUCAAAGUACAGGUCGCCCUUCAACAUCUUUUGAACUUUCUAUGUCCAAAACUUUUUUUCUUUUCAUCACCCCUAGAGAAACCAUUCCUCUCUUCUACCAAAAUCCAUUUUGUAAUCUUAUUUAAUCUCUUAUGUUGUGAUACCUUAAAAUGGAUAUCCAUUUCGAGUUUUUGAAAAUUUGAUAUCUUAUGUUUGGAAGAAUAACCAUAUUUUCUUUUGGACUUCCUAACCUUUAGAGUUAAAGCUGAAAUUUUGAAAAUCAAUAUAGUUUGACGUUUGAACCAUAUAUCCAUAUAUUGCAUGCUUUUUUAUUAGCAUAAUUGAUAUGUUUGAUAGACCCAAAAUUAUUGAUGGAUUUUGUGAAACUAAUUCUGCUGGUAUUAUUAGAGGUAUACAGAUGUUCUUAAGAAAAAUAUGUUUUAAAUACCAUUGAAAAUGUUGUUAUAUUUAUGUUUAUAUUUUGCAGAGGACUUCAGCUAUAAGCCAUUAGCCAUGUAUAUGGAAGGGGCACUUCUUCAAUUUCUAUAUUCAAGUAUCACUUAUGUCGAUUACAUCCAGUUUCAAUUCCUCUGCAAUAGAGUAAGGCAUGAUACAAGAACAAAGCAAGGCACAAUCCCUUCUUUGACGGCUCAUCUAGAACACUAGAGGUAAGCCAUCAUUCAGAAAAAUUGAAAUCUCUUUUUACAUACACUCGUGACAACCUUUUUCUUUUUACUUUUUUCCCCCCCUUAUUCUUAGAUUCAAUGAUUUAGUAGUUAUUUUAUUUUUGAUAAAUAGGAAAUUUAUUGAUUAAGAGAGAGUACAAAGACAACUACAAAAUUGAGUGAGGGAGGUAGUAGGCCCCAGUUCUGUUUUGGGAUGUUUUGAGAUUGGAUUCUACAGAAUUAGGAUUUAAACAAACAAUAAUCCAGUUUUUAAGGGUUUUAUCGAUUUAGAAGAUACCCAUUCAAGUUGAGAUUUAAUUUUAUAGACAUGUUAAACAUGUACUUAAAAUGAAUUGAGUUUUUAGACUUUUAUGAGUUUAUUGGCUAGAAUUCUUGGAUGGGUGAGUAAUGUAAGAAACCAGAGAACGAGAGAAGCCUUUUAUGGUACAAUCAAUAUUCAUGUAAUAAUGCUAUUUAAAGACAGGCUACGCCCGAGAUAAUAACCAAUUCACAUUGCUAUUCAAGGCGUAAGACCCAAACGACUUGGGAAAAAGGUUGCCCUGGAGAUACUAAUGUAAUUCAUAUCAUUUCAACUUAAGAGAGAAGUACUAAGAAUCUUGGGAAUCCAGUAAUGGUUUGCCCAGAAGAUAAGCUAAAGAUUCAUGGAAGUUUGAAGAGAGGUAAUGGAAGCCUUCUAAGUUGUAUCCCUUUCUUUGAUGUUUUAAUUGAAACCUUAAGCAAUUAAAAAAAAAAAAUAUUGUGUAUAGGAGCAAAAAAAAAUUGUUUAUCACUCUUAGUGAUGGGAUGGUAAGUUAAGUGAGAUGCCAUCAUAUGAUGAUUACCAUUUAGUUCCUUAGAGCACUUACAGUAACGAAAGAUAGUUGAUGUUAUUUAUUAUUUUCUACUUUAUUAAUUUUUAUAUGUUUGACGGAGUUUGAAAGCGAAUAAAUAACCCAUGCAUUUAUUUUGGUCUUUUAGAAUUCUUAGAGGUAAAGCUAACAUGCUUAAACAUUAGUCAUUUGACACAUAUUUUCUCAUCAAUAUUUAUUUGAACACAUUCAUCCUAUGAUUGCAUGUCUAAAAAAAGAGAUAUUGACUCAAUUUUUUGAAAAUUGAUGGAUUUGAGUGUCCCCUGAAAUUAUUGAAUCAUGAAAUUACUGAUAGCCUAUAUGGCUUAUACAAAAUCUCUAAAGUUUUUUUAGGAGAACCUUAUUUUUCAAUGUCAUUAUAGUAUCUCUCUAAAAUAUAAUUAUAGAAACUACUGGUGUUGUGUUGUUGAAUCUCCUCCUCUACUCACAGAAAUUCACUACCUACAUCUUAUAUUCUUGCUGCUGUAAUGUUCAAGUGGACUUUUCACUGAUUUUCAGGCUAUCCAAGGAAUCACUAUUUAGUCUUAUGAUAUUGAACGCGAUCCAACACAAGGCUCUGUUAAAGCUAUUUUCGUACGCUAAGCUAUGCAAGAUUUGUUGGGAAGGAAAGUUAGAAUUGGCUAGCACAUAACGUCGAUUCCAGCAAGAAAUUUUGUUAAUUUUAGACAACUUCAAACAUUACUUUAAAACUGUUUGUAUGACUGAUACAAUCUAUUAAUGUGCUAGAUAUGUUACUAAAAGUGUUGUAACUUCUCAUGUUUAAAUUGAAUCAGUAAAACUUUGUAUCUUUUUGAAAAAACCCAAGUUGCCUAAGAUAUUUGACAAUUGUUUCAAAUAAUAAUUCAGAUUGUUACUUGGUUUCACAAUUGUUAAAUGAUUAGAGGCAUGCAAGAGUAGUAACAAAAUAUGCAUCUUCGACAAAUUAGUGCAUUAUCAAGAAAUGUUAAAUAUGCUAAACAUGCUAUCAUGAAUUCAUCGUAUAAUGUUUGCAACGUAAUGGAUUAUAUUUGAGUUCUUAGAUAUUUUUUAUUACCUUCGUGAUUUAUUUAAGUGCGUAGUGACAUCUUAAUUUUAUAACGUCCAUUUUCAAUUAAAAAUCUUAGCAAUUUACACCAUUAUGAACAUAUAUUAUUAAUAAUGAUAGCAUUGCAAAUGCCCAUUUUAUGUUUCAUUCAUUCGGUGUGACUUAACCGAGUAAAUCAUGAUAUAAUCCAUCCAGCUAAAUAAUCAUCGCUUAGCCCGUGCGUAGCAUGGGUUCACCUACUAGUAAUUUAAUAUUAAUCAAAACCUUUCUUCUAAAUCAAUUCUAACAAUAUUUGAAGUCGUUUUUUUCUGCACCCAACAAACCAAAAUACAAAAAUUAAAUAUUCUUGCAAAAUUCAUAAAGAGCAAUCUCAUUUGGCAAACUUAGUAACCAUAAAUUAAACAUGGUUUGAGAAUGAUCACCUAAAAAAAUCAUUAAACUAUUAUGUUUGAUAUCCUCCAAUAUCCAUUGACUUUUAAAUAUUUGCUUCUAUGUUCGACUAAAUUAUUGAUUUAUUGAGCAAAAUCUAUUGCUAAAUUGGGGCAAAAGGACCAAAAAUUUACUUGGUAUCAUUCUAUGAACAACAUAAGAAGUAAACCAAAUAGAUUUGAACGCUAAAUUUAUAGAUCAAACAUGAAAGGAACAAUAUAAAACACACAAAAAGUGUGAAAAGUAAUAAACCCGACAACCACACACCCCAUUAUGUGAAAUCAUCGUAUUAAUGUUUACAAAUCCGCCGAGGAAAAAAGCAAUGAAAAGAUGUUCAUCAAACCCUUGUGUGUUUAACAUUGUACCAACCUUUUUUACAAGAGCCAUUUAUUCAAUACAUUUUAACUCAGUACAUUACGGUGCGAGCAGCAUUUUCGUCCACACAAUGUGACUAGGACAACUUGGUAACCGGUUAUGCAAUUUUUAUUGUUUCUUUUAGUUUUUCAGUCAAACAUACAGGUGGCAGCUAUAUGGAUGACAAAAUUGCUGUAUGGAUGACAAACAGCUGUAUGGAUGACAAAAUUGCUAUAUGGAUGACAAAAUUCAAGAAACAAUAAGAGCAAAUUUUUGUUGACUUUAGACUAACCAGUAACAAGUUUCCACUUGAGUCCACGUGGAAGAUUGUGUGGUGUACAAGCAAAUGUACCGUAAUACACCAUACCAAAAAUGUACCGAAUAACAGCUAUCUUACAAGAUACGCCAACAGAACCUUUCCAACCAAAUCUAAUAGCCUAGGAACUCAUGGAGACUGCCAGUCUCAUGAGUAACAGUAUAAGUAACUGUAACACCCCAGGUAGGCAGGUGGUUUGCUGAGAGGGUGGGUCCUACAGAACUUAGAGGGGGAUGUCCUGACAUUGGAAUAUAGGUAUAGAUCCGUCAUAUAAUAUCAUCGAGGCCUUUUGGGCUCACUUGGCUCCAGAGUUCGAAAGAACUCCGGAGUUAAGCGUGCUCGGGUGGGAGUAGUCUCAGGAUAGGUGACCUCCUGGGAAGCAGGCUGCUGCCCUAUAAAACCCCACAUUGUCGGAUGUUCGCAGUGGCUAAGUGGGGACAAUAUCGGUGGUGAUAUAGGUCGGGUCGCUACAAAUGGUAUCAGAGCCGACGACGGUUCACCUGUCGAGGGUGGGAGAGUAUGCUGGAAAGGCGCCUAGCCCAGGAAGGGGUGAUGGUUGCGCCAGGUACUCGUCUCACGAGGGGCAGGGAACGACGGAGAUCUGGGGCUGUAUAUUCCAGAGCCGAGGACGGCUCUCCUCUAAGGUGGUGGGAUUGUAACACCCCAGGUAGGUAGGUGGUUUGCCGAGAUGGUGGGUCCUACAGAACUUAGAGGGGGAUGUUCUGACAUUGGAAUAUAGGUAUAGAUCCGUCAUAUAAUAUCACCGAGGCCUUUUGGGCUCACUUGGCUCCAGAGUUCGAAAGAACUCCGGAGUUAAGCAUGCUCAGGUGGGAGUAGUCUCAGGAUGGGUGACCUCCUGGGAAGCAGGCUGCUGCCCAAUAAAAUCCCACACUGUCGGAUGUCCGCAGUGGCUAAGUGGGGACAAUAUCGGUGGUGAUAUAGGUCGGGUCGCUACAAACAAGUUUGGUAUCAGAGCCAGGUUUGUAGGACCCUAGUGAGUCUAGAAAUUUCAGAUUUUCUUAGUACUAGAUUCACGUAUAGGAUCUGUGGCUAGUUUCCAAGUUUGAGUGAGGACGAAUAGUAUUUUUGUCACAAAUCAAUGUCAAAGGGGGAGAUUGAAACCNNNNNNNNNNNNNNNNNNNNNNNNNNNNNNNNNNNNNNNNNNNNNNNNNNNNNNNNNNNNNNNNNNNNNNNNNNNNNNNNNNNNNNNNNNNNNNNNNNNNNNNNNNNNNNNNNNNNNNNNNNNNNNNNAUUUUUUCGAAAUAUGAUUUUCUUAUAUGUGCUAUUAUGUUUGAACCCCACAGUAAUCGUUGCAAAAUAUAUAGGUAACCGAAACAGAAAAUGUAACGCGGCACGGUUUAGCACGUGCAGCGUUGCAAAUUAGAAACAGUUAAGAACUUAAGAUCGAGUUAAACUCAAUCUCUUUCUCUUUAAAACUCAUCUCCUGCCUCGAUCUUUCUUCUCCUUCCCAACUCGAAUUGAAACUCGAUAAUUUCUUCUUCUCAUACAAACAACAAUUUCAAUUCUUCUCACCCAAACAACAAUUCAAUCACUGCUUCUCCUUCUUCUUUUUUUUUCUUUUGAAAUUUCCAUCACUGCCUCUGCAACCUCUUACUCAUCCGCGCGCUGCUGCUGCUGUGUGUUUUCAAUCGUCACUCCAAUCACGGUCAAUCUCAGAGUAAGAAUGCUCCCUGUUUCUCUCUCUCUCUUUAUCUAUCUUCUAAUAGCGAUUUUGAACUCAUUUCAGGCAUCUACACAGCCAGGAUUCGGAAUCAGGUGCAUGACUUUUUCUUCAAAUUUCUUAGGGUUUAUACUUAGAGAAGAAUGUCCAGUCUUAGGGUUUUGCUUAUUUGGUUUUGCAGUGAUUGUACAUUUGCAGAUGCUGGAAACCUAGAACAUUGUGCAAAGUAUUUGAAUCAAACUCUUGUUACUUUUGGAUUUCCAGCGUCUCUUGAUCUAUUCGCUAAUGAUCCGGUCUGGUUUCGUUUCAUUUUUUAUAGUAUUCUAUUUGCUUUUCGUGACGUGAUGUCGCUCUUUUCUGAUACAUUGUUGGAUGUUUUUCAUUAAUUAGGUUUCAAUUGCACGGACCUGCAAUUGUAUUUAUUCUUUGCUUCAACAGAGACAGAGAGACAUUGAGUUCAGAGAGUCUACAAAUGAGCAGCGCCAGAGGUAGACCUACAUUAUUUAUUUGUGCUGCUUUUUCAAAAUAAACAAUUACUCUAAGGGAGACCACAUGGAAAUCUUUUGGUAAUUUUGAUUCACUUGAUAGAAAUCCUUACUUUUAAGUCAAUGUGGAUCAUAUACUCUUCUGUAUACAAUAUUUGAAAACAAGGAAUAGGACAUGUGACAUGUCUGUUAUUACAUGUUUGUGUGCGAGAGGUGAUAAAUAUGACUGAAACGUUAAUAAAUAUAAAGGUAAUAUGCCAGCUGCUUGAUUUUUUUUGAGUGAAUUGGUUGGAGUGCUGAAAUUUGUGUUACUGUAUGUCUAUCUGUGCAAACAAUUUCCAUGCACAUGCUUUUAGAUGAUAUUUCGAUUAAGUUAUGUAGAGUGUAGACAUGUUUGAUGUGGAAUUUUGGGCAACUCACCUGAUAGAAGUCUUUACUUUUAAGUCGAGCUCUGGAUUAUAUAUCGUGAAAACAUAGACUAGGACAUUGUCUGUUAUUACAUGUUUAUAUGCAGUGAAGAUUAAUAUGAUCGAAACAUUAAAAGGUACCAUGCCAGCUGCCUAAUUUUGUCUGAGUGAACUGGUUGGAUUGCUGGAAAAGAAACCUGUUUCUGUUUGUUAAUAUAACACAGUAUUUCUUAGCCAGUUAACACUUUGUGCUGAAGUUUGUUUAACUUUAUGUCUAUUUAAGUAAAGAAUUUUCUUGGACAUGCUGUUAUCAUCUGACAUGUCAAGGUUAGAAGCCAAAGUUGAGAGGCUUGAGGCACAGUUAGCAGCAAAAGACCGCGAGUUGGCUACAUUGACCCGAACGGUCUGACUUCUGAAACAGUAGCUUAUAGUGUUUUCCCUGUAAAAUGUUAGAUGUAACUGGAGGUUUUUUUUUUCUAUUGCUAGCUCUUUAUUAUUAUUCUAACAAAAUUUUAUUGGGCAGGAGGCUAAAGCUACAGCAACAUUUAAGGCUCAGAUUGAAAAGCUACAGCAGGAGCGAGACGAAUUUCAAAGGAUGGUUAUUGGUAAUCAGGUUUGGGCACUCUUCUUGUGUUCUUGUGUUUUCUUACUGUCAUUUUUCUCUGGAAUGGCUCCUGACAAUAGUCUGUAUGGACUAAUAAUCCAAUAGCAAGUGCGGACUCAACAAAUACAUGAGAUGAAGAAAAAAGAAAAGGAAUACAUUAAGUUGCAGGUAGACACCUCUAUCCCAAUCUUUUAUAGGUCUGGUAGAGUAGUUAUUCGCUUGAUGAUGUUAGUAAAAGUUGAUAAAAUCUUAGAUAAUAAGUUAAAAGUGGAAAUUCUCUGCUCUGCAGGAAAGGUUAAACCAAGUUUUGAUGGAGAAAAAGAAAGAAUCAAGGUCAGGCAUGGAGAUAAUGAAUUUGCUUCAGGUAAAAUAACAGCGUUGGUGAAUUUUUCGUAUUGAAAGUGUGUAAACUACAGUCACUGACGCUACUGGUACAUGUUAGCAGAAAGAAGAGCGCCAACGUGGGACGUGGAAUGGAAAGAAGGCUGACAAUGACUUUUACAAGAUGAUUAUACGGAACAAUAAGAAUGAGAAUCUUAUUUGCAAUUAUAUUACUUUUAAUGCACUAGGACAACUAUGUUUUAUUAUAUUUUUAUUGGUACUGCAGGUGGAUUCUUAUGAGGUGAACAAGCAAGAGCUCAUGUCGGAAAAUGCUGACUUGAAGGCAUUGUUACGUUCAAUGCAGGUGAUUUAUACGAAUGUUUUUUUGCUGUUUUUUUUUUUGAAAGGUUAACGAUCAAUAUAUUAAUAAGAAAAAGAUACAAAUUACAAGGGGGUAAGGGAUGAGCUAUCCAUAUAACCAAACUUAACAAAAAAAAACCAUAAGACAACCAACAAGACUAAACCCCUAAUGUAUUAAUAAGAAAAAGAUACAAAUUACAAGGGGGAAAAUGAAGCUCUUGCUGAUUAGGCGUUUUUUUAGGUUCUUUAUCAAGCUUCUUUUGUGGCCUUUAACACUUCUAUGCAUUCAUGUUCAUGAUUAUGUUUGGUGCCAAGUCAUAUUUUGUUAGUCUGCAUGUAAAAAUUAUUGUUCUUAAUUUUCUAUCUGAUUUGAUUCAUUUAAUCUUUAGUCUUAUUAUUCUGCAGAUGGAUAUGCGCGAGUUUUUAAAUGCUCCAAAUGGACUAUCCAAACCAACGGUGCCUUUAAAUGAAAGAAUUGAUGCAGACCCUCCACAGUCUCCGUUGGGUGGUAAGACGGUAAUGGUCCAUUCACGCGCUUAAAAAUUUGAAUUGGUCAUUUAAAAAGAUGUUUUCAUUGUUUGACUUUGAGAAUGUGUUUCUACUUGCAGGAUGUCUUUGAUCUUCCUUUUCACAUGGCUAGGGAUCAAAUAGAAGAGAGUCUUCGAACUAAGAUGGCUUCUAUAAAGGUGACUUUUAACAACUUUUGCAAAUCCUUGUUGUGGCAUUUCCAGGAAUGGAAUUUGGCUUAUUAUUUGAAUUAACUGUAAGGUUAUUAUUAAUUUGUUUUAGUUCCUAACUAUUCAUUAUGAUUGGAAGGAGCGGAUAGUUCAACUACAACUAUGCAUCAAAGGACCUGGACAAGCUACAAACUGCAAAUUUUGACCAGAAAAUCGGAGUCCAGAUUAUUUAGAAUGCUCUCAAGGUUUGAACCUUUUUUUCUUGAAUACGGUGAUAAUUGGUGUAUGAACUUGAAUAUUUCACACCAAAUGCUUAGAUAAGCGAAAUAAGAAUCUCGAUUGUGUUUAGUGUGAGAAUGGCUAUAAGUGUUGUGUAUAAAAAGCAUUAGAACAAUUGGAGGAAAACUAUCUUUUUCUAUUGCUUUAGUUGGUCUUAGCACUACUAUUGUUGUAGUGUCUCAUUGAGUUUAAAUAGAGAAUGGGAAACCAAACAUAGCCGUAGUUGUUCUGAUGUAUGGGUUUGUAGAAAAGGCAAUGGAAGCUAUCUAAUUGCAGGUGCAUGUGGAA